CGCGGCACCCCUGUAUUUGGAUGUGUCAUGGCAUUCUUCGGACGGUUGUAGCAUUUGGUUUUGAUUCCGAGCUAUUAUUCGGUCAGUAUAGUCGUUUGGGCGGCCAUGACUCUGUGUUGGAGCGCACUUCCUAGAUCCGUAGAUGGACCUGGCCAUACCGGAUUUUUUGUGCAGGUCUUCACGUAAAUCAUGCGCUGACUUGUGUGCGACAUUGUUAGCCACACUAUCGCGGCCACGGGGUGGUCGAUCCGGCUGAUCGGCCAUUUUAUUCUUCGGCUGAAUGGGCUCUAAAGCCUCGUCGUCGAAUUCAGGCAGCAGCUUGCGCUUUGGAUAUCUCUUUGUGUGGCGACUGCCGCCGUACUUUUCUUCAGUGUCAAGCACUUUGUUCCAUCUGCUGUUGAGCGUAUUUUGCGCGGCUUUAAGCCUUUGCUUCUGCUUCUUCAGGCUCCUCGCGGUGGAGAUAAGCCUUCUAUGGAGGUUCUCUUGUUCCAAGUGUGUUUCUGGGAUGAUGUGUGCAUUGUCGUCCGGACUGUUCUCCUCUCCGGAGACAGGUUGAUGAGCUUUACCCUCGACGUCGCCGUGAUUGGACAGCGGCUCCCUACUAUGUUCUCCGUCCGCUGGCUCAUCCCGCUCCAUCGCUGGGUCCAUGUGGUCGUCGUUUCCUUUGGAGUUGACCAGUGUAUUAUCGUUGUUUUUGCUGAGGCGGGAUUUGGAGCGGCGCCUACGUCGUCGCUUUGGUUGCUUCUCAAGGGGACUAUCCUUUGCUGCAUCCUCCCGUUCCUCGCCGUUGUUUUCUUUGGGUGUAUCCACCAUGUAUAUAUCGUGUGAUGAAGUGGUUGUCCAGCGUUGUAACACCCCGGAUGUAACUUUCCCAAUUUGUACUCCAACUCUUGCCGUUUCCGGCUUUAAGUUAAUUUAUUUUCUCGGGUUUGGGUCUUUGUCUCCAUGCAUUAUUGUCUUGUCAUGCAUCUCAUAUCAUGUCAUCAUGUGCAUUGCAUUUGCAUACGUGUUCAUCUCAUGCAUUCGAGCAUUUUCCCCAUUGUCCAUUUUGCAUUCCGGCGCUUCGUUAUCCUCCGGUGGUCAUUUCUAGCUUUCUUUUGUGUGUGGGGAUUAAACAUUUCCGGAUUGGACCGAGACUUUCCAAGCGGCCUUGGUUUACUACCGGUAGACCACCUGUCAAGUUUCGUGCCAUUUGGACUUCGUUUGAUACUCCAACGGUUAACCGAGGGACCGAAAAGGCCUCAUGUGUGUUGCAGCCCAACACCCUUCCAAUUUGGCCCAAAACCCACCAAAACCAUCUCCAUCAUCUAGAGCGUUCGAUCACGAUCGCGUGGCCGAAAACCGCACCUCAGUUGGACUCUCCUAGCUCACUCUAUGCCUAUAUAAAGGUCUCUCCCCGAAAAUCCCGGAUCCCCUCUUUCGCUAACCCUAGAUCCACCCUCUCGCCGCACCAGACAUUGUCCGUCUGGGCCGGACGUUGUCUGCUCACUGCCACCGUCCAACCGCGCCGUGCCACGUGUCCCGGGCGGGCGCCCACAUCGCCGCCGCCGCGCCGGCCCGCCCGAGCCCACGUCGGGCCCCCGUGGCCCNNNNNNNNNNNNNNNNNNNNNNNNNNNNNNNNNNNNNNNNNNNNNNNNNNNNNNNNNNNNNNNNNNNNNNNNNNNNNNNNNNNNNNNNNNNNNNNNNNNNNNNNNNNNNNNNNNNNNNNNNNNNNNNNNNNNNNNNNNNNNNNNNNNNNNNNNNNNNNNNNNNNNNNNNNNNNNNNNNNNNNNNNNNNNNNNNNNNNNNNNNNNNNNNNNNNNNNNNNNNNNNNNNNNNNNNNNNNNNNNNNNNNNNNNNNNNNNNNNNNNNNNNNNNNNNNNNNNNNNNNNNNNNNNNNNNNNNNNNNNNNNNNNNNNNNNNNNNNNNNNNNNNNNNNNNNNNNNNNNNNNNNNNNNNNNNNNNNNNNNNNNNNNNNNNNNNNNNNNNNNNNNNNNNNNNNNNNNNNNNNNNNNNNNNNNNNNNNNNNNNNNNNNNNNNNNNNCCCGUGGCCCAGGGGAGCCGCGCCGCCCGUCGCCGCGCCGCUGUGGGACACCGUCGCCGCCGCCGCCACCAACCCUCGAUUCCGGCGUCCUCGAGUUCUACUACGGCGAAACCCCGGCGGUCCUCAGUUUCCGCGCUUCGGAUCUGAGAUCUGUUUUUUUAGGGUUGACUUUUUCUCAUAAAACCCUAAUCCAUAUGCUCAUGUUCAUAGCCUCGUAACUUUGCAUCCGUAACUCCGUUUUGGACAUAUAGCAUAUCAAAAUGUUCAUCUCAUAGAGUACAUCAUUUCGUUCCACUGCAUCAUUUUCAUUUGAGUUCAUCUUGACGCCCGAAAUGCUGUUAGAAGAGGGCUACUUGAGAUAAUUGUCAGAUCUGCUACUCCAUUUAGCUAUUUGUCAUUUUUGCCAUGAUUAAUGUGUGCAUGAUAUGCCCAUGAGUUCUACAUAUGUUUUGUUAAGGGUUUUGUCAUCUUUCCAGAGGUGCAACCCAUGUAUUUUUGUGAUGUGUGUGGUGACUAGCACGAGCUUGCAAAGUGGUGCACUUGGUAAUUCUGAUUUCAGGGACUUAGCAUUUCCACUAAGUCCUUGAGCUGUUUAUCUCAUAUGACCAUAUGUUCAUGUUGUUUCCUAGUGAUCCGUGCCUCUUUUGAGGAUGAUCAGUAAGGAUGUUUUGUUAAUCUUGUAGUGCUCUAUCCAUCCAUGUCUUUGUUUGCAAUUAUGGAGCACCCUAGCUUGAGUCAAUAGAGCUCUAUUUUUGCUACUUCGUGAAUCUGGGCAGAUUGUCAACUUGUUUGCAAUUUGGCCAAUGAUGUUGUAGUUGAUCCAUGCAUGCUAUGCUAUUGUUCUUGCCAUUUCUAGCUUGCAUUUUGUGUAUUCUUGAUGGAUGUAUACUUAUCUUAUCAUGACUUGCACCGUGGUGAGUGCAUCGAGCUCGUAAACAUGCCUACUUGAGAUAUGUUUCAGCAUGUGCCGGUUUUCACCAAGUCUGAGAACUGAUUAUGUUUUUGCUAUGUUCACAUGCUUGCAAUUGUAUUUUCUGAUCCCUUUUGGCUCAAGGUCACUAAGGGACUUUAGUUAAGAUCUUUGAGUAGCUCCAUGCCAUGCUUUACUUUGCCAUGUUCAAGUCCUGUAGCAUGUAGUUUUGUUGCUCCGAAGAGUGCUAUCUGAUCUGAAAUUCUAGACAAGUGUUAAUUUCACUAAGUCUGAAAUCUGUUUGUCAUAUGCAUUUUUGCCAUGCUUGUUUGAACCUGUUAAUGGAUGAAUUGGCCGUAGCUCAGUGCUAGACUUUUGUUAAGCAUCAUGAAUGCAUCCCUGCCAUGUAUUUUUAUGCCAUGUUUGGGUGCUGUAGCAUGUUUAUCUUGUUGCAUUUAGAUGGCUACUUGCUGUAAAUCGCAGACCGGUAUCAUAUUUGAAUCGCUUGCCAUUUCCUAACCGUAACUCCGAUUCCGGCGUUCUUUAUAUCGUUUUCAAGCGAUUUCAUCUCAUCUUUCCAGUGGCACACUUGGAUUCCCAAGUUGAGGCCAGGUUCAUGCAUUCCUUGUCAAAUCUUGCAUAUGCAUCCCGCAUCGCAUCCCGCAUAGCAUAUCAUCUUUGCAUCAUCUUGUUUGAUCCUUGCACGUGGUUGAUUGUGUCCUUGUUGCUUGUUUGUCUUGUUUGGGUAGAGCCGGGAGACCAGUUCGCUAACGAGGAGCCCGUUGAGUUUGCUUUCGAGGAUCCAGUCAACUCUAACAACUUUGCAGGCAAGAUAAUCAUACCCUCGAAAUCACUACUAUCUUUGCUAUGCUAGAUUGCUCGCUCUUUUGCUAUGCCAAUGCUACGAUGCCUACCACUUGCUUUCAAGCCUUCCAAAUUGCCAUGUCAAAACCUUUAACCCACCAUGUCCUAGCAAACCGUUGAUUGGCUUUGUUACCGCUUUGCUCAGUCCCUCUUAUAGCGUUGCUAGUUGCAGGUGAAGAUUGGAGGCCGUUCCUUGUUGGGAACAUUUAUUUACUUGUUGGGAUAUCAUUGUAUUAUCUUGUUAUCUUAAUGCAUCUAUAUACUUAGUAAAGGGUGGAAGGCUCGGCCUCUCGCCUAGUGUUUUGUUCCACUCUUGCCGCCCUAGUUUCCGUCAUAUCGGUGUUAUGUUCCCGGAUUUUGCGUUCCUUACGCGGUUGGGUUAUAAUGGGAACCCCUUGAUAGUUCACCUUGAUUAAAGCUUUUCCAGCAAUGCCCAACCUUGGUUUUACCAUUUGCCACCUAGCCUCUUUUUCCCUUGGGUUUCCGGAGCCCGAGGGUCAUCUUAUAUUAACCCCCCCCCCCCCGGGCCAAUGCUCCUCUGAGUGUUGGUCCAACUCGUCAGCCGCCGGUGGCUACCAUGGGCAACUCUGGGCUGGCCUACCGGAAGUUUAGACAAUCUGAGUGUGCCCUGAGAAAGAGAUAUGUGCAGCUCCUAUCGGGAUUUGUUGGCACAUUCGGGUGGUGUUGCUGGUCUUGUUUUAACCUGUCGAAGUGUCUUGAAGAACCGAGGUACCGAGUCUGAUCGGAACGUCUUGGGAGGAGGUCUAUUCCUUCGUUGACCGUGAGAGCUUGUCAUGGGCUAAGUUGGGACUCCCCUGCAGGGAUUUGCACUUUCGAAAGCCGUGCCCGUGGUUAUGGGCAGAUGGGAAUUUGUUAAUGUCUGGUUGUAGAUAACUUGAACCUUAACUUAAUUAAAAUGAAUCAACAGUGUGAGUUACCGUGAUGGUCUCUUCUCGGCGGAGUCCGGGAAGUGAACACGGUGUUGGAGUAAUGCUUGCGCAGGUUGUUCUCUAGUUUCUCGCUCACGCUUUGCCUCCUCUUCUCGCUCUAUUUUGCGAACAGGAUAGCCACCAUAUUUGCUAGUCGCUUGCUGCAGCUCCACAUAUUUACCUUACCUUACCUAUAAGCUUAAAUAGUCUUGAUCGCGAGGGUGCGAGAUUGCUGAGUCCCUGUGGCUCAUAGAUUACUAUUACACCAGAUGCAGGGCCUGAUGAUUCUGCUCCAGGUGACGCGCUUGAGCUCAAGUGGGAGUUUGACGAAGACUCUCAACGUUACUAUGUUUCCUUUCCUGAUGAUCAGUAGUGGUGCCCGGUUGGGGGUGAUUGAGACCGUGUCGCAUGUUGGGUUAUCUUUUAUUUUGGCGCCGUAGUCGGGCCAUGAGUGUUUGGAUGAUGUAAUGUUAUUUAUGUACUUGAUUGACGUGGCGAGUGUAAGCCAACUAUGUUAUCUCCCCUUUUAUUAUCUAUAUUACAUGGGAUGUUGUGAAGAUUGCCUAACUUGCGACAUAUGCCUUCAAUGUGAUCAUGUCUCUAAGUCGUGCCUCGACACGUGGGAGCUAUAGUCGCAUCGAGGGUGUUACAAGUUGGUAUCAGAGCCUUCCCCGACCUUAGGAGCCCCAUUGCUUGAUCGUUUUUAGCGGCCGAGUUGUGUCUAGAAAAAAUGUUUUGAGUCAUUAGGAAUUAUAUAUCGGAGAGUUUAGGAAUUCUUUUUACUUGCCAGUCUCCUCAUCGCUCUGGUAAGGCAUCCUGACGUAGAGUUUUGACUCUUCUCUUCUCAAAUUUCACUAAAAAAAAAUUUAGGAUCACGCGGGUAUCUUGGAAUCGUUCCGAUGGUUUUAUGAUGAGAACAUUGUCUUGAUGCCUCCUGUUAGGGGUUUUGUGGAAGUGUCCCGGGGAGUUGAGCUCUGAGGUGUUGUCGUCAUAAUUUUAUCGUUGCAAUUCUGGAAUACCUGAGUUUAGUACGCCGACAUCGAAAAUCUCUUUUAUGCAGUUCGUUGGUGAGAUAACCUCGACGCCACCCAGUAUUGGGGCGGGAGUUUGGGAGUAUCGCCAUAACUUGUAUAACGGAUGCUUUUCGAAGGUUGAGGUAGAUGGUUUCCGAAGGUUUCUUGGUUAUGUGUUGAAGGAUGGAUACAGCUGGAUGUAGGAUUUGCUAGUUUGGGUGAGAUAUUAUGCUUCCCUUGUAUCCCCAACACCUGAUUGCAUAACCGGAAAGGUUCGGGAGUUUCAUAGGUGGGAAUUCUAGUAGCUCUAGUUCUUCUUCCACGGAUAUUGGUUUGAGAUUGGGAUUUCUUACCGAGUAUUCGUUCUUAAUCCGUACCUUGUUGAUUUAUUUCUCUACCUUAAUUCUAAGUGGCUUCUCAAUUUAUGGAUAUGUGACCAUUUCAAGAGGAAUGUAUUCGUUCAUUUUGUUCGGAUGUGAAGACUAUAUGUUGCAAUUUUCAUUCUGUUGGAUUCAGCUUCAAUAUUUUCCUAUCAAUGUGCUAAUGAUGGUCAACCUCUUCAGGAUGGCUCCUCCAACACGCACGACUCUGAAUCCUGAUCCGCCACCACCUCCACCUCCUCCGGAGGCAUGGCAAGUUGUGAUGGCCGCAACCAAUGCAAACACACAGUUGAUCAUGCAAAUUCUCCAAGAGCGCAAUCAAGGCAACCAAGGGAAUCAAGGCAACAAUCAGAAUCACUUUGCUACACUCAACCAGUUCCUUGCUAAUGGGCCAAAGACUUUCAGCAAUUGUGUUGAGGCAACCGAUGCUGACGAUUGGCUUGUGGAUCUGUGCAAGCAUUUCGAGUGCAGUAACGUCAGGCCUGAGGAUUUCGUCAAGUUCGCUUCCUUCCAACUCAAAGAUCAAGCUGCAGAAUGGUUCCAGCAGUACAAGGAUUCCAUAGGUGGACGUGUUAUCACUUGGGAUGAAUUCCGUCAAGAUUUCCGAGCUCAUCAUAUCCCUCAGAGCGUGGUUGAAAGAAAGCGUGAGGAAUUCUGCAACCUAAAGCAAGGUUCUUUGUCUAUCUAUGACUACAACAAGUUGUUUCAGAAGCUCGCCCGCUUUGUUAAGCAGGACGUCCCUGAUGAGAAGAGCAUGAUAUACCAGUUCAGGGGUGGUCUCGGAGAAGAAAUUCAGCUAGCUCUUGUUCUUUUCGAGCCCUUGAGAUACGAUGAGUUCUAUAACAUGGCAUUGAAGCAAGAGGCCGCUCAGCUGAGGUGUGAUGCUUCCAAGAAGCGAGUCAGAUAUGUUACUCCCUCUUCCUCUACUCAAGUGGCCAAGCAGCAGAAGUAUUGGCUUCCUCCUCCUCUGUUCCGUUAGCCGUAUCAGCAGAAGAGCAAAGGUGGCAGUGGAUCUUCCCACCCACCCAACCCUGGCUUUCAGAACAAGACUUCGUCUCAACCUCCAAGAUCGAGUGCUCCGUAUCACCGUCCGCUUUCAGAGGUCACGUGCAACAAGUGCCAACAGAAGGGUCACUAUGCCAACAAGUGUUUCAACCAGAGGCGCCUUCCUCCUCCUCCUCCUGUCAGAUCGGCAAGUACAGCUGUGGUCAAGCAUAACCCCAAGUACGCCAAGGUCAAUAUGGUGAAUGCAGCUCAGGCAGAGGAUUCAUCAGAUGUCAUCAUGGGUAACCUUCCUGUUAAUGAUAUUCCAGCUAAAGUUCUUUUUGACACUGGUGCAUCGCAUUGCUUUAUCUCGAGACCUUUUGCAUCUAAACAUGGGUGGUUUUCUCAAGUUAUGCAUAAGCCAUUAGCAGUUGUCUCUCCAGGAAAAUGUUUGCUCGCUAACUACGAGGUUCCGGAUAUUUCUAUCUCGAUGGGUGAUUUCAAGUUUCUGGCUUCUCCAAUGAUCCUUGGUAACUCGGAUAUUGAUCUUAUUCUCGGAAUGGAUUGGCUUUCUAAGCACAAGGCUCAGCUUGAUUGUGCAGCCAGGCAGAUUCAAUUGACUCAUUCGUCUGAGGAUGUAAUUGUCUUUGCCGCUUGUGAUAAAACCAUCCGUCUGUUUUCUCUCAAUGAGAAGGGUGAACUAGAUGCCAUCUCUCAAAUUCCAGUCGUUUGCGAAUAUCAAGACGUCUUUCCAGAAGAGCUUCCAGGAAUGCCUCCGCACUGGCCAGUUGAAUUCUCAUUGAUCUUGAGCCUGGUACGGAACCUGUGUGCAAGCGUCCUUACAAGCUCAGACCUGAAGAGUUGAAGGAGCUGAAGAAGCAACUCGAUAUUCAAGAGAAAAUGGGUCUCAUCCGGCCUAGUUCUUCUCCGUGGGGUUGUGGUGUUCUUUUUGUGAAGAAGAAGGAUGGAACGGACCGACUUUGUGUUGAUUACCAUCCAUUGAACAAGAAGACCAUCAAGAACAAAUACCCACUUCCCAACAUCAACGAGCUGUUCGAACAACUCAAAGGUGCCCAAGUAUUCUCCAAGCUUGAUCUCCGUAUGGGUUAUCAUCAGAUUCGAAUCCGUGAGCAAGAUAUUCCCAAGACGGCUUGCAGGACAAGCUAUGGUUCAUAUGAAUACACUGUCAUGUCUUUUGGCCUCGUCAACGCUCCUCCGAUGUUCUCUCGCAUGAUGAACUUCAUCUUCAACGCCUACACCAAUGACUUCGUUUUGGUCUAUCUCGACGACAUUCUGAUUUUCUCCAAGAACAAGGAAGAUCAUGCCAAGCACUUGCGUCUGGUACUCGAUAAGCUCAGGGAACAUCAGUUCUACGCCAAGUUCUCCAAGUGCGAAUUUUGGCUCGAUGAGGUUCUUUACCUUGGUCAUAUCAUCUCUGCCAAGGGCAUUGCCAUGAAUCCUGAGAAGGUGUCUGCAAUUGUGAAUUGGGAACCUCCUCAGAACGUGAAGCAACUCCGUAGCUUCCUCGGUCUCACAAGCUAUUGCCGAAGAUUCGUUGAAAACUUUUCUAAGAUCGCGAAGCCUCUCUCAAAUCUUUUCCAGAAGCACGUCAAGUACAUUUGGUCUCCGGAGUGUGACAUUGCUUUCAACACUUUGAAAGAGAAAUUGAUCACUGCUCCAGUUCUGACUCCGCCAGAUGAAUCCAAGCCAUACGAGGUCUUUUGUGAUGCCUCUCUCCAAGGUCUUGGCGCAGUAUUGAUGCAAGAGAAGAAAGUUGUUGCUUAUACCUCUCGCCAGUUGAAGCCCAAUGAGAAGAACUACCCGACUCAUGAUCUCGAGUUGGCGGCAGUUGUGCAUGCUCUUUUGACUUGGAGACAUCUCCUAUUGGGAAGAAAAGUGGACAUUUUCACUGAUCACAAGAGUCUCGAGUACAUCUUCACUCAGCCUAAUCUCAACCUCAGGCAAACUCGAUGGGUCGAAAUGAUUCAAGCGUAUAAUCCGAGUAUUGAGUAUACUCCAGGCAAGGCCAAUGUGAUUGCUAACGCAUUGAGCAGAAAGGCUUAUUGCAAUAGCCCAAUUCUCAAGCCUUAUCAACCCGAGCUUUGUGAAGCUUUCCGCAAACUUAAUCUGCAAGGUGUUCCUCAUGGUUUCCUCGCCAACCUUCAAGUCUCUCCUACCUUGGAAGACCAUAUUUUCCAAGCCCAGCUUCUUGAUGCUAUGGUGAAAAAGGUGAAGAUUGGGAUUGCCAAGAGUCAACCCAAGUACAAGUGCUACCGCCUUGAUGACAAGGAUACUCUCUUCUUCGAGGAUCGUAUUGUUGUACCCAAAGGUGACCUCCGUAAAGUGAUCUUGAACGAGGCUCACAAUUCUCUCCUCUCCAUCCACCCUAGGAGCACGAAGAUGUAUCAGGACCUUAAGUAAGUUUAUUGGUGGACUCGAAUGAAGCACGAGAUUGCUCAAUUCGUGAAUGAAUGUGAUGUCUGCAGAAGGGUGAAGGCAGAACACCAAAGGCCAGCUGGUCUCCUCCAACCUCUUGCCAUUCCAGAAUGGAAGUUUGACCACAUUGAAAUGGACUUCGUGACUGGGUUUCCAAAGUCCAAGCGUGGCAACGAUGCUAUAUUCGUUGUCAUCGACAAACUCACCAAAGUGGCUCAUUUUCUGCCUAUCAAAGAGUCGAUCACUGCAGCUCAAUUGGCAGAACUCUAUACCUCUCGGAUAGUCUCUCUGCACGGUAUUCCACAAGUGAUCUCUUCAGACCGUGGCAGCAUUUUUACCUCCAAGUUUUGGGAUUCUUUUCAGAAGGCCAUAGGCACCAACAUCCGCUUCAGCACAGCUUUCCAUCCUCAAACUAGCGGUCAAGUCGAGCGUGUCAACCAGAUUCUUGAAGAUAUGCUCAGGGCUUGUGUGAUCUCCUUCGGCAUGAAGUGGGAGGAUUGUCUUCCUUAUGCUGAAUUCUCCUACAACAACAAUUUUCAAGCAAGUUCGGGCAAGGCCCCAUUUCAAAUUCUGUAUGGCAGGAAGUGUCGUACCCCUCUCAACUGGUCUGAAACCGGUGAACGUCAGCUUUUGGGUAAUGACUUAAUCACAGAGGCAUAGGAAAUGUGCAAAGUCAUUCGAGAUAACCUCAAAGUAGCCCAAUCCCGCCAGAAGAGCUACUAUGAUAGUAAGCACCGUGAUUUGGCUUUCGAGAUCAGAGAUCAUGUUUACCUCCGCGUCUCUCCAAUGAAAGGUACUCAUCGCUUCGGUAUCAAAGGGAAGCUUACCCCUAGAUAGGUGGGACCUUUCAAGAUUGUCAGCAAGAGAGGCGACCUCGCCUAUCAACUCGAGCUUCCUUCAAACUUUGCAAAUGUUCAUGACGUGUUCCAUGUCUCUCAGCUUCGAAAGUGCUUCAAGACUCCUGACCGCACCAUCAACUUCGAGGACAUUGAGCUCCAGGAAGAUCUCUCUUAUCAUGAGCACCCAGUUGCUAUUCUGGAAGAGACUGAACGCAAGACUCGCAACAAGUCAAUCAAAUUUCUCAAAGUCAAGUGGUCACACCAUUCCGACCGUGAAGCUACCUGGGAAUGCGAGGAUCACCUCCGUUCUGAGUACCCGGUGUUCUUUUAGUCCUAGAUCUCGGGACAAGAUCCUUUCGUAGUGGUGGAGUGUUGUAACACCCCGGAUGUAACUUUCCCAAUUUGUACUCCAACUCUUGCCAUUUCCGGCUUUAAGUUAAUUUAUUUUCUCGGGUUCGGGUCUUUGUCUCCGUGCGUUAUUGUCUUGUCAUGCAUCUCAUAUCAUGUCAUCAUGUGCAUUGCAUUUUCAUACGUGUUCAUCUCAUGCAUUCGAGCAUUUUCCCCGUUGUUCGUUUUGCAUUCCGGCGCUUCGUUCUCCUCCAGUGGUCAUUUCUAGCUUUCUUUUGUGUGUGGGGAUUAAACAUUUCCGGAUUGGAUCGAGACUUGCCAAGCGGCCUUGGUUUACUACCGGUAGACCGCCUGUCAAGUUUCGUGCCAUUUGGACUCCGUUUGAUACUCCAACGGUUAACCGAGGGACCGAAAAGGCCUCGUGUGUGUUGCAGCCCAACACCCUUCCAAUUUGGCCCAAAACCCACCAAAACCUUCUCCAUCAUCUAGAGCGUUCGAUCAUGAUCGCGUGGGUGAAAACUGCACCUCAUUUGGACUCUCCUAGCUCCCUCUAUGCCUAUAUAAAGGUCUCUCCCCGAAAAUCCUGGAUCCCCUCUUUCGCUAACCCUAGAUCCACCCUCGGGCCGCACCGGACAUUGUCCGUCCGGGCCGGACGUUGUCCGCUCGCCGCCACCGUCCAACCGCGCCAUGCCACGUGUCCCGGGCGGGCGCCCACAUCGNNNNNNNNNNNNNNNNNNNNNNNNNNNNNNNNNNNNNNNNNNNNNNNNNNNNNNNNNNNNNNNNNNNNNNNNNNNNNNNNNNNNNNNNNNNNNNNNNNNNNNNNNNNNNNNNNNNNNNNNNNNNNNNNNNNNNNNNNNNNNNNNNNNNNNNNNNNNNNNNNNNNNNNNNNNNNNNNNNNNNNNNNNNNNNNNNNNNNNNNNNNNNNNNNNNNNNNNNNNNNNNNNNNNNNNNNNNNNNNNNNNNNNNNNNNNNNNNNNNNNNNNNNNNNNNNNNNNNNNNNNNNNNNNNNNNNNNNNNNNNNNNNNNNNNNNNNNNNNNNNNNNNNNNNNNNNNNNNNNNNNNNNNNNNNNNNNNNNNNNNNNNNNNNNNNNNNNNNNNNNNNNNNNNNNNNNNNNNNNNNNNNNNNNNNNNNNNNNNNNAACCCUUGUCGCCGGCCGCACGAGACGCCACCCGUGCCGGCGUCCACUUCCCCCGCCGCCUCGCCGCUCCACUUCGCCGCCCCGCAAGCCGGCGACCGCCCCGGUGCCCCCUCCGGCCGGCGAGCCCCUCGAUUCCGGCGUCCUCGAGCUCUACUCCGGCGAAACCCUGGCGGUCCUCGGUUUCCGCGCUCCGAAUCUGAGAUCUGUUUUUUUAGGGUUCACUUUUUCUCACAAAACCCUAAUCCAUAUGCUCAUGUUCAUAGCCUCGUAACUUUGCAUCCGUAACUCCGUUUUGGACAUAUAGCAUAUCAAAAUGUUCAUCUCAUAGAGUACAUCAUUUCAUUCCAUUGCAUCAUUUUCAUUUGAUUUCAUUUUGAUGCCCGAAAUGCUGUUAGAAGAGGGCUACUUGAGAUAAUUGUCAGAUCUGCUACUCCAUUUAGCUAUUUGUCAUUUUUGCCAUGAUUAAUGUGUGCAUGAUAUGCCCAUGAGUUCUACAUAUGUUUUGUUAAGGGUUUUGUCAUCUUUCCAGAGGUGCAACCCAUGUAUUUUUGUGAUGUGUGUGGUGACUAGCACGAGCUUGCAAAGUGGUGCACUUGGUAAUUCUGAUUUCAGGGACUUAGCAUUUCCACCAAGUCCUUGAGCUGUUUAUCUCAUAUGACCAUAUGUUCAUGUUGUUUCCUAGUGAUCCGUGCCUCUUGAGGAUGAUCAGUAAGGAUGUUUUGUUAAUCUUGUAGUGCUCUAUCCAUCCAUGUCUUUGUUUGCAAUUAUGGAGCACCCUAGCUUGAGUCAAUCGAGCUCUACUUUUUCUACUUCGUAAAUCUGGGCAGAUUGUCAACUUGUUUGCAAUUUUGCCAAUGAUGUUGUAGUUGAUCCGUGCAUGCUAUGCUAUUGUUCUUGCCAUGUCUAGCUUGCAUUUUGUGUAUUCUUGAUGGAUGUAUACUUAUCUUAUCAUGACUUGCACCGUGGUGAGUGCAUCGAGCUCGUAAACAUGCCUACUUGAGAUAUGUUUCAGCAUGUGCCAGUUUUCACCAAGUCUGAGAACUGAUUAUGUUUUUGCUAUGUUCACAUGCUUGCAAUUGUAUUUUCUGAUCCCUUUUGGCUCAAUGUCACUAAGGGACUUUUGUUAAGAUCUUUGAAUAGCUCCAUGCCAUGCUUUACUUUGCCAUGUUCAAGUCCUGUAGCAUGUAGUUUUGUUGCUCCGAAGAGUGCUAUCUGAUCUGAAAUUCCAGACAAGUGUUAAUUUCACUAAGUCUGAAAUCUGUUUGUCAUAUGCAUUUUUGCCAUGCUUGUUUGAGCCUGUUAAUGGAUGAAUUGGCCGUAGCUCAGUGCUAGACUUUUGUUAAGCAUCAUGAAUGCAUCCCUGCCAUGUAUUUUUAUGCCAUGUUUGGGUGCUGUAGCAUGUUUAUCUCGUUGCAUUUAGAUGGCUACUUGCUGUAAAUCGCAGACUGGUGUCAUAUUUGAAUCGCUUGCCAUUUCCAAACCGUAACUCCGAUUCCGACAUUCUUUAUAUCGUUUUCAAGCGAUUUCAUCUCAUCUUUCCAGUGGCACACUUGGAUUCCCAAGUUGAGGCCAGGUUCAUGCAUUCCUUGUCAAAUCUUGCAUAUGCAUCCCGCAUCGCAUCCCGCAUAGCAUAUCAUCUUUGCAUCAUCUUGUUUGAUCCUUGCACGUGGUUGAUUGUGUCCUUGUUGCUUGUUUGUCUUGUUUGAGUAGAGCCGGGAGACCAGUUCGCUAAUGAGGAGCCCGUUGAGUUUGCUUUCGAGGAUCCAGUCAACUCUGACAACUUUGCAGGCAAGAUGAUCAUACCCUCGAAAUCACUACUAUCUUUGCUAUGCUGGAUUGCUUGCCCUUUUGCUAUGCCAAUGCUAUGAUGCCUACCACUUGCUUUCAAGCCUUCCAAAUUGCCAUGUCAAAACCUCUAACCCACCAUGUCCUAGCAAACCGUUGAUUGGCUUUUUUACCGCUUUGCUCAGCCCCUCUUAUAGCGUUGCUAGUUGCAGGUGAAGAUUGGAGGCCGUUCCUUGUUGGGAACAUUUGUUUACUUAUUGGGAUAUCAUUGUAUUAUCUUGUUAUCUUAAUGCAUCUAUAUACUUGGUAAAGGGUGGAAGGCUCGGCCUCUCGCCUAGUGUUUUGUUCCACUCUUGCCGCCCUAGUUUCCGUCAUAUCGGUGUUAUGUUCCCGGAUUUUGCGUUCCUUACGCGGUUGGGUUAUAAUAGGAACCCCUUGAUAGUUCGCCUUGAUUAAAGCUUUUCUAGCAAUGCCCAACCUUGGUUUUAUCAUUUUCCACCUAGCCUCUUUUUCCCUUGGGUUUCCGAAGCCCGAGGGUCAUCUUAUUUNNNNNNNNNNNNNNNNNNNNNNNNNNNNNNNNNNNNNNNNNNNNNNNNNNNNNNNNNNNNNNNNNNNNNNNNNNNNNNNNNNNNNNNNNNNNNNNNNNNNNNNNNNNNNNNNNNNNNNNNNNNNNNNNNNNNNNNNNNNNNNNNNNNNNNNNNNNNNNNNNNNNNNNNNNNNNNNNNNNNNNNNNNNNNNNNNNNNNNNNNNNNNNNNNNNNNNNNNNNNNNNNNNNNNNNNNNNNNNNNNNNNNNNNNNNNNNNNNNNNNNNNNNNNNNNNNNNNNNNNNNNNNNNNNNNNNNNNNNNNNNNNNNNNNNUGGUCCAACUCGUCAUCCGCCGGUGGCUACCAGGGGCAACUCUGGGCUGGCCUACCGGAAGUUUAGACAAUCUGAGUGUGCCCUGAGAAAGAGAUAUGUGCAGCUCCUAUCGGGAUUUGUCGGCACAUUCAGGCGGUGUUGCUGGUCUUGUUUUAACCUGUCAAAGUGUCUUGAAGAACCGAGGUACCGAGUCUGAUCGGAACGUCUUGGGAGGAGGUCUAUUCCUUCGUUGACCGUGAGAGCUUGUCAUGGGCUAAGUUGGGACUCCCCUGCAGGGAUUUGUACUUUCGAAAGCCGUGCCCGCGGUUAUGGGCAGAUGGGAAUUUGUUAAUGUCCGGUUGUAGAUAACUUGAACCUUAACUUAAUUAAAAUGAAUCAACAGUGUGAGUUACCGUGAUGGUCUCUUCUCGGCGGAGUCCGUAAAGUGAACACGGUGUUGGAGUAAUGCUUGCGCAGGUUGUUCUCUAGUUUCUCGCUCGUGCUUUGCCUCCUCUUCUCGCUCUCUUUUGCGAACAGGAUAGCCACCAUAUUUGCUAGUCGCUUGCUGCAGCUCCACAUAUUUACCUUACCUUACCUAUAACCUUAAAUAGUCUUGAUCGCGAGGGUGCGAGAUUGCUGAGUCCCUGUGGCUCACAGAUUACUAUUACACCAGAUGCAGGGCCUGAUGAUUCCGCUCUAGGUGACGCGCUUGAGCUCAAGUGGGAGUUCGACGAAGACUCUCAACGUUACUAUGUUUCCUUUCCUGAUGAUCAGUAGUGAUGCCCAGUUGGGGGUGAUCGGGACCGUGUCGCAUGUUGGGUUAUCUUUUAUUUUGGCGCCGUAGUCGGGCCAUGAGUGUUUGGAUGAUGUAAUGUUAUUUAUGUACUUGAUUGACGUGGCGAGUGUAAGCCAACUAUGUUAUCUCCCCUUUUAUUAUCUAUAUUACAUAGGAUGUUGUGAAGAUUGCCUAACUUGCGACAUAUGCCUUCAAUGCGAUUAUGUCUCUAAGUCGUGCCUCGACACGUGGGAGCUAUAGUCGCAUCGAGGGUGUUACAAGCGCCCUGUGGGCGGUGGUUCCUGUUUCUCUCCUCCAUCGUCGUACAUACCGUCCAUGUCUUCGGAGUCGAAAUCAAGCAUGUUGGUUAAGUCGUCAACAGUGGCUAUUAAGUGGGUGGUGGGUGGGGAAUGAAUUUCUUCGUCGCCCGCUUCCCACUCAAGCCGGACAUAGUUCGGUCAAGGGUCUCCUGACAAGGAGAGAGACCUCAAUGAAUUUAGCAUGUCGCCCAAGGGUGAGUGCUGAAAGAUAUCCGCGGAAAUAAACUCCAUGAUCGGUGCCCAAUCAGAUUCAAUAGGCACGGACGCAGGCGGUUCAGAGCCUGUGUCCGGGGACGAAUCCAAGGGUCCGGUAACACAGGUCUCGUAGGAGGUGAAGUCAGUAUUCGGCCCUAUCACCGCUGAGUGUGCGGCCUCCGUGGCGGGGUCCAUCCACCCGUCCUCAGACGGCACGAUAUGCUCCGGAUUGUGGGCCGGAGUAGCCACAUGUGUGAUCUCCCGAACACCGUCCGGCUGUAGAGCUAAGUCAUGCUCGUCGUGACUGUGCGGCACACCUAACAUGGGCUCGAAUCCAUCGAAGAUCAAGUCUCCGCGGAUGUCGGCAGUAUAGUUCAAGCUUCCAAACCUGACCUGAUGGCCAGGGGCGUAGCUCUCGAUCUGCUCCAGAUGGCCAAGUGAGUUGGCCCGCAGUACGAAGCCGCCGAAUACAAAGAUUUGUCCGGGGAGAAAAACCUCACCCUGGAUCACAUCAUUGCCGAUGAUCGAAGGAUCCAUCAAGCCUUUACGUGACGGCAUAGUGGAACUCUCAACGAAAGCACCAAUGUCGGUGUCAAAACCAGCGGAUCUCUGGUAGGGGGUCCCGAACUGUGUGUCUAAGGCCGAUGGUAACACGAAGCGGGGGACACAAUGUUUACCCAGGUUCAGGCCCUCUCGAUGGAGGUAAUACCCUACUUCCUGCUUGAUUAAUCUUGAUGAUAUGAGUAUUAAAAGAGUUGAUCUACCACGAGAUCAUAGAGGCUAAACCCUAGAAGCUAGCCUAUGAUUAUGAUUGUUGUUGUCCUACGGACUAAACCCUCCGGUUUAUAUAGACACUGGAGGGGUCUAGGGUAACACAGAGUCAGUUACAAGGGAGGAGAUCUACAUAUCCGAAUUGCCAAGCUUGCCUUCCACGCAAAGGAGAGUCCCACCCGGACACGGGACGAAGUCUUCAAUCUUGUAUCUUCAUAGUCCAACAGUCCAGCCAAAGUAUAUAGUCCGGCUGUCCGAGGACCCCUUAAUCCAGGACUCCCUCAGGCAUCCCCAAGCUGAGGUUCUUCUUACUCCUUAUUCCUUCAUCCAUCGUAACAUCACCCAAAACUUGAAAAACUUCAAUCACACAAAACUCAACAAAACCUUCAUGAGAUUCGUUAGUAUAAUAAAACAAAUCACUACUAUAAGUACUGUUGAAAACCCAUUCAUAUUUUAUUCUUGCAUUAUAUCUACUGUAUUCCAACUUUUCUAUGGCAAAAACUUCAAAGAAACCCAUAGAAUCAUCAAAACAAGCACACAACGCAAAGAAAACAGAAUCUGUCAAAAACAGAACAGUAUGUAGAAAUCUGGAUAUUUCGAAUACUUCUGUAACUCCAAAAAUUCUGAAAAAUUAGAAACACGUGAGAAAUUUUUAUAUUAAUCUUAUGCAAAAAGAAUUGGUAUUUUAUCGUGCUCCUGGUAAAAAUGAGAAUUAUUUUAGUGAGCGCAAAAGCUUCUGUUUUUCAGCAAGAUCAAAUCAACAAUCACUCAACAUGACCCCAAAGGCUUUUCUUGGCACAAACACUAAUUAAAACACAAAAAACACAAUCAUAAUAGUAGAAUAAUUGUGCAAACACUCAAGAACAGAAAGCAAAAUACAAAAAUAAAUUUUAUUCAUUGGGUUGCCUCCCAACAAGCGCUAUCGUUUUACUCCCCCAGGUAGGCAUAAAGCAAUUAUCUAAGUAUUGUAAUCUUUGUUUCUAGAUCCAUAAGAUGCCCUCAUGAUUGAUUCAUAUGGUGGCCUAAUUCUUGUUCUAGGGAAGUGUUCCAUACCCUUCCUUAGUGGAAAUUGAAAUUUAAUAUUGCCUUCUUUCAUAUCAAUCACGACACCAAUAGUGCGUAAAAACGGUCUACCAAGAAUAAUUGGACAAGAUGGAUUGCAAUCAAUAUCAAGAACAAUAAAAUCUAUGGGCACGUAAUUCCUAUUUGCAAGAAUAAGAACAUCAUUAAUUCUUCCCAUAGGAUUUUUAAUAGUAGAAUCCACCAAGUGCAAAUUUAAAGAACAUUUUUCGAUAUCGGUAAGACCAAGCACAUCACAUAAAGAUUUCGGAAUUGUAGAAACACUAGCACCCAAGUCACAUAAAGCAAAACACUCAUAUUUUUUAUCUUGACUUUGAUAGUAGGUUCCCACUCAUAAUGUAAUUUUCUAGAAAUUGAAACUUCUAAUUCCAAUUUUUCUUCCAAAGCUUUCAUCAAAGCAUCAACAAUAUGUUUAGUAAAAGCUUUAUUUUCUUCAUAAGCAUGGGGUGAAUUUAUCAUGGAUUGCAACAAAGAAAUACAAUCAAUCAAAGAGCAACUAUCAUAAUUAAAGUCUUUGUAAUUCAAAAGAGUGGGCACAUCACUAGUUGAAGUUUUGACCUCUUCAAACCCACUUUUGGCAAUUUUCUCAACAAAAUUUCACCCUCUAGAUUAUCGGGACGCCUUCUAGCUAAAGUUGACUCUUCUCCAGUCCCCUUUUCAUCAAUAUUAAUUUUACUAAACAAGGAAUCAAUAGAAGAAACACCAAUCAUUUUAAGAUCUUCAUCAUUUUUAUGAAAGCAAUCACUAGAAAACGUUUUCCCUAAAAAUUCUCUUCUAGCUCUAUGCAUAGUGGUUCUUUUCUUACUUUCAUCCAUAGAAACAUAAAGAGCUUUAAUUGAUUCCUCAACCUUAGGCACAAAAAAUUUCAUCUUGAGAUUUUCCACAUCAUGAGAAAUUAUAUCAACACUUCUAGACAAAUCAUCAAUCUUGUUCAACUUUUCUUCUAUUAUAGCAUUGAAAACCUUUUGAGUGUUAUUUAACAUUAUUCUCAAGAUCAGAUGUGUUCCUAUUAUUAUAAUAAGAAGGAUUACCAUAGAAAUUAUCAUAAUUAGUAGAGGGAUUUUUUAAGCCCAAACCAUAGAGCAAUCGUUCUACGGUAAUUUUCAUUAAUUAAUAUGGUACAAAUAUAUUACAUUCCCUAGCCUGUAGGGUCAACCAAUGCCAGCUCUAGGAAACAUGAAAAAAAUUACAUAUGCUGAACUAUCCAAUUAUUGAUCAGAGUGGCCUUCUCUUGCUUAGCUCUGGUACUUGUAAUCUGAAGGCCUUCCUUGAAAUGAAACUUCCAGGAAUUAAGAUGGAUUGGUGCUUUCCUGAAGAUCUUGUCAUUUCUAGUUACACAAAUGCUCCAACAUCCCAUUAUAACAAUGUCCAUAGCAAUAUCAGUUGGUAGUUUACACAGGGUUAGAAGAAUCUCAUUAAAAGGUGAAAUGCCUCUGUCUUUGUUGGGGAUGACUGUGUUCCAACAAGACCAGGCAAAUUGGCAGUCCCAGAAUAGAUGUGUGAUGGUCUCUUCAGUACUUUCCCCACAGAGAGCACAGUGGUAGUCCUCCGGGUACAUAUUUCUGCGGUGUAGCAUGUUCCUUGUAUUGAGUCUGUCAUGAAGAAGGAGCCAAAAGAAUAUUUUGUGUCUUAGUCGGCAGGCUAUUCUCCAAAGCAUCUUAAAGAUACAGUGAGCAGUGCUUGGACCCAUGAUUGAUUUGUAUAACUUAAUGGAGGAGUAUUUCAUUGUGUUGCCAUCCAAGGACCAGACAUCACUAACAGCAGUGUUAUCUCUGUUCAUGAUGAGGGUUUGCACAGAAUUGAACUGAUUGAAGGCUUGUAGUGAUAAAGGCCAAUGGAAGUGCUCACUGAGAUCCUCAAGCUGUUGAACAUGGGCAAGAGUGGCUUCUUUCUUAAUGGUGAAUGAGUACAACUCAGGAAAUUGAUUCUGGAGAGGGGAAUCAUGCCAUCGGUCUGCCCAAAACCUAAUAGUGUCACCAGGACCAGCUUUGCAUACAUGUAGUUGUCUGAAAGUAGGGAGCGGUUUGAGAAUGGAUUUCCACCAGAAAGAGCCAAUCAUUCUUUCUCCAGGUAGUGAAUUGUGGUAAUGUGCCUCCCAAAUAGUAUUAACCCAAGGAAUAUCAGCCUUGUUUAGAAACUUAUGCAGAAAUUUCAUUAGUAGGGUUUUAUUGUGGGUUUGCAGGUCAAGAACCCCAAGGCUGCCGUGAGACUUUGGUUUGCAAACUUGUUCCCAUGCAAUAAGUGUUGCACCUCUAUCUUGUGUUCCAUAUUUCCUCUAGAACCAGUUCAUGAGGUAGGUGUUGGUUUGUUUGAGCAUAGUUUUAGGAAUCAUCAGAGUGCACAUGCAGAAGGUGGGCAUGCUGGUGAAUACUGAUUUGAUUAGGGUAAGCUUAUCCCCAAAGGAUAGCAAAGUGGAACAGCUCGGUAGCCCGUUUUCAGUUCUUUGUAGUAUUGGCACAAAGUCUUCAAUUUUGGGCUUGACAGUAUAAAGGGGCAGCCCUAGGUAGGUGUGGGGGAGGGAACCAAUCUUGCAGCCUAGGAGGGUUGAUAGCUCUUGCAUUUUCUCAGGAGGAGUGUUGAUAGAGACCAAAGUGGAUUUUGAAUAAUUGAUUUUGAGCCCUGUGAAAUCUGCAUAGUAAUUAAGCAGGUUCUUGAUCUGUUGGGCCUGCAUGAUAUCUGCCUGAGCCAGAAGGAUGGUAUCAUCUGCAUAUUGGAUGAUAGGAAAGUCACGGCUAGUGUUGUGACUUAAGGGGGAGCUGAUAAUGGAGUUGUGCAUGGCCUCAUUAAUCAUGGUCUGAAGGACAUCAGCAGCAAUGACAAAGAUCAAAGGUGAGAGGGGAUCCCCUUGCCUGACACCUUUCUUACAAAGGAAUUGCUUGCCAUGGACCCCAUUAAGCAUGAUAGAGGAAAAGCCAGUGCCAUAAAUCAUCUUAAUCCACUGUAUCCACUUGGCUCCGAAGCCUUUAGCCUGAAGAACUUGAAUUAUGGUAUCAUGACUAAGCAUAUCAAAAGCCUUUUCAAAGUCCAGUUUUAGAAGGAAAAGUUAUUCCCUGCUGUGAAAACACUGGUGAACAUACUCAUAUGCCCAAGCCAAGCAAUCUUGGAUACAUUUGUUAUUCAAGAAUCCAUACUGAUUUUUGUGCACCAGCUUCAGAAUAACUUUCUGUAGUCUAUUGGCCAGGAGUUUGGUGAUGAUCUUCAAAGUAUAAUUUAAUAGAGAGAUAGGCCUAAAGUCUGUGGGGCAGGAUGCAUUAUCAUUAUUUGGGAUAAGAGUGAUGUAUGAAUAGUUAAUACUCUGUAAGUUGACUCUUCCAUCAGGAAAGUCAUUAGGGAGUUUGUAGAAGUCCUGAGAAAUAAUGUCCCAACAGUGUUUGAGAAAUGCAGCAUUGAAACCAUUAGGUCCUGGAUAUUUGUCUAAAGGCAUAUGUUUAAUAACCUUAUCAAUCUCCUCCUUAGUGAAAGGCACUUCCAAGUCUGUAAGAUUAUCCAAUCGGUUGAGAAGAUGUUCAAGAAACAGUGGGUUUUGGGUCUUUGCUUCAGUACCCAUCAUGUCUUUAAAAGCUCUAUACAGAACUGCAGCUUUGGCAUGAUGGUCAUGAUGUUCAAACCCUGAGUCAUCCUUUAGCAUUGCAAUGUAGUUAUUUCUAUACUUAAUGGUGGCUUUUGCUUGGAAAUAUUUGGUAUUAGCUUCACCCAUCUUAAUUUUCCUGAUUGUAGCUCUCUGCUUCCAGUAUUUCCUCUGAUUCUCCAAAGUACAUGCCAGGUGUUCCUUAAUAAUGUCUCUGUCAUUAGCUUCUUUAAUAGAUAAGUUUCUGUAUUCCUCCAAUUGAUCAUAGCACAGUAUUAGGAAGUUGGAGUUAUCAAUAAUCUUCUUCAAGUCUGAAAUCUCCUUUGACUAGUUCUUUAGACCUUUCCUCGAUCUUUUAAACUUGGUAGCAAUCACUUUAGCACUGUCAACUUCAGCCACUGGCUGAGCCCGGAUAGUCUGAACAAUGUCCCUAAAUUGAUGAUGGUCCAGCCAGAAGUUUUCAAAUCUGAAGACAUUAGAUUUUGUAAUGUGAGAGCCAAUAGAUAUCUUAAUUGGGAUAUGAUUUGAUGUAGUUUUAGCAAGAGGGAAUGCAAAAGUGGCAGGGUACUUAAGAGUCCAACUUUCUGAAGUGAAACAACAAUCUAGUUUUUCAAGCAGAGGGGCAUCCUGCAUAUUGCUCCAUGUGUACUUUCUGCCUUUGAGUGGGAUUUCAACAAGAGCUUGUCUACUAGUGGCCUCAUUGAAAGAAAGCAUAUCAUUUAUGUUACCUCCCUGUCUGCUUCAAUUGUGUGGAUACCUGAUGUAGUUGAAGUCCCCCAGGAUAAUCCAUUCAGUACCAUCUUGCAAUUGAGUGUUCUCAAACCAAUCAAGAAAGAGUGCUUUUUCCUCAGGUUGGCAAGGCCCAUAUACAUUUGUGAGAAUCCAAGAAUCUCUAUUAUGCCGAGAGGAAAACUAAAUGGAGAGUGAAAAGGCAUUAGAGUGUAUUAAUUGCCCAAAAAAGACAUUGUCAUUCCAGGCCACAAGAAGACCACCAGAGGCACCAGCAAAAGGGAGGAAUUCGAAUUUGGAAAAUCUCCUUGGACAGAAAUUCUUCAUGUAGAAGGGGUCAAUGAGUUCUCUCUUAGUUUCUUGCAGGCAAAUGAUGGAGCAUUUGGACUCCUCAAUUUUGUUGGAUAGAGCUGACCAUUUCUUGGGAUUGUUAAGACCUCUAAUGUUCCAGUUGAGGAUGUUCCAAUUUCUGUUUAUAACAGGCAUGAGUAAAACCACAGAACUGUGCCCAGAUAAUCAAACAUAGCUGCUCUGUUCAUGGAGAAAUAAAGUGGAUCUCCCAGGCAUUGAUACAAAAGAGAGAUGCUGAGCAUAGAGGAGAGGACCAUAAAGUCUUAAGUACAUAGAGUGCAAAGGAUAACUGACACUGCUAACACAAAAGAAAACUACUCUCAAAUAGCAUUUGGUGCCUAGCCUACACAUGCACAUCUAAUUCUUGUCUUGAGUCUUCUUAGCUCCCUCCAGUGGUGGGCCAUCAAUCUUCCCCUUUCUAUCUCUCUUGCUCAGUAAUUCCUCAGUGGUGUCCUUACAAGAAACCUUGCAAAACGAUGUAUUCAAACUUUUAAUGAUUUUAGCCGAAAUGAUAGAUGGAGCAGCAUGACAGGCAAGACAUUCUUUGCCUUUACAUACAAAUUUCUUGAAACCUUUUGAAAGUUACUGCAACCUACAGCUCCUUCUUACCUCUAUCUCAACUAGUGGGACUUUGUCUUUCCUCUUUCUGUUCUUGUGAAGUGCUGAAGUGGAGGAUGCAACAGUGAGUUCAGUGCUACACUGUUCAUCAGAUGAGGAGAUCUCGACCCCUUGUGCAUCCUGAGAAUGAGAGGUAAGAAUGCAAGCAAGAGAGUUAUCCCUAGGAGGCUAGGACAUAGAUAAGGGACAACAAAAGGUAAAUAUGUUUGGCAAGAGGAAGAUGUCUUGAUGAUAUCCCAAAUAUAGGAGGAAAUGAAAUUAAUAGCCCAUUCAAAUUUAUCAGGUUAGAGAAGGAUGAUAGAUAAGAAAUUGACCCAUUCUGCAGGUACCUGAAUGACUUUGAAAUUAUCUGAAGUGGGGGUGAGGGAGUCCUGGAUUAGGGGGUCUCCGGACAGCCGGACUAUAUCCUUUGGCCGGACUGUUGGGCUAUGAAGAUACAAGAUUGAAGACUUCGUCUCGUGUCCGGAUGGGACUCUACUUAGCGUGGAAGGCAAGCUAGGCAAUACGGAUAUGGAUAUCUCCUCAUUUGUAACCGGCCUUGUGUAACCCUAACCCUCUCCGGUGUCUAUAUAAACCGGAGGGUUUUAGUCCGUAGGACAACAACAACCACAACAUACAAUCAUACCAUAGGCUAGCUUCUAGGGUUUAGCCUCUCCGAUCUCGUGGUAGAUCUACUCUUGUACUACCCAUAUCAUCAAUAUUAAUCAAGAAGGACGUAGGGUUUUACCUCCAUCAAGAGGGCCCGAACCUGGGUAAAACAUUGUGUCCCCUGCCUCCUGUUACCAUCCGGCCUAGACGCACAGUUCGGGACCCCCUACCCGAGAUCCGCUGGUUUUGACACCGACAUUGGUGCUUUCAUUGAGAGUUGUGCCGUCACCAGCAGGAAGGAUGUCUCAUCCCGUCUUUAAAGACGGCACUGUUGCUGAGGGAGCUUUGGCUAUCGGCCAAACACUCCGGCUAGGUGGUUUUCUUAUGACCACUUGUUCGACCGCUGCGCCGAUGAUGACUUCUCGGGUCAUCAAAAGCAAUCUUCAUGUCAACUCGGAACUCGCCGAGCAGUUAGAUCCAAUGGAGCUCUCUUCCCUGAACGAGCUCUUGGAUCACAUCGCCGCCCUGGGAGUCGCUACAGACUAUGAUCAGAUUGGGCCUAAACCUGAUCUGAGAGAGAUCAACUCUCCCCAUGUCACCCAUCACGUUGCAGUGGUGGAGGAACAAUGCGGCAACACUUCAUCUAUCUUAAGGACUAGCUAUGUCCGGAUUCCCGAUCCCUCCAAGCCGGAUACCCGCGGAGGGGAGGACGUCACUCAAGACCUGAACCUAGAGUCAGGCAGCGGGCUAGAUUUAUUGGAAAACAUUCGAGAAUCCAAACUUCCGAGUUCGGAAACUCCUUGGCCCCUGAGUCUCAGAUUGGGUGAGGAUUCGGGUUCAAUUCCACCCACCCACCCAAACAUAAGCGAUCUAUCCCAAAUUAGGCAAGAGCCCGAAGAAACAGUACACCAUUACUGGGCCAGAUUCCUCCUGGUCAUGAACGGGAUAAAGGACUGCCACGACGAAGACGCAAUUUCAUUCUUCUGCAAUAAUUGCACGGACAAGGGAAUCCUCAACGCCAUAAGUCGCCGCGAAAUUAGACACUUUGCCGACUUGGUAUCCAUAGUACGGAAGUACUGUGCGAUGGAAAGCGCCUGGAAAACCGAAAUAAAAAUUUGGGAUAAUCCGGCCCUGAAUACAAACCCAUUCUGAAAUAAAAGGGUGCAUUAUCACAAUACACCUGGGUUAACUACCAAAAAGAAAAAGCCCUCUAUGGGGCAAGGAACCGUACUGGAGGGAUGGCUCAACGGACCCUGCAAAAUUCAUAGUACAGCGGAUGCAAUACCAGCGCACAGCCUUAGAGCAUGUUGGAUACUCCGGCAGGUGGCCAAAAGUGGUGAGGAUCUACUCCUCCCAAAUACCACAGAGCACCAUCCCGUGGAUAACAAUACGGUGUUAACAGUCUUUGAGACCUUCUCGUCAAAUAAUAGACGCAAGCGAACACUCCGCAGCAUGGCCGAAAUCUGCCACGUAGCAGCAAUAAAUCCUUGGAGUGACACGGCUAUUACCUUCAACGCAAGUGACGAACCUAAAUUCCGAACAACCCGAGCACCAGCCGCGCCGGUCCUUAGUCCAAUCGUGGACGGCUUUCGACUCACCAAGGUACUCAUGGACGGCAGCAGCGGAUUAAACCUCAUCUAUGAGGAAACUCUUCAAAAGAUGGAAAUAGACUGGAGCCGCAUUGAGCAAAGUAGCACAACCUUUAGAGGAAUUAUUCCCAGUCGGGAAGCACGCUGUGCUGGGAAAAUCACACUAGAUGUGGUAUUCGGCACACCGGAUAAUUACAGGUCCGAAGAAAUUACAUUCCAAGUGGCCCCGUUCAGCAGCGGAUACCACGCUCUAUUAGGGCGGGAGGCGUUUACAAUCUUCCAAGCCAUACCCCAUUACGGGUACAUGAAGCUCAAAAUGCCCGGGCCCAACGGAAUCAUCACUCUUGCUAGUGAUCCAGACAUAGCACUCCGUGCCGAGAAUAAGACAGCCGCACUAGCCCUCGAGGCACUGUCCGAAGCCCUAGCAGCUGAGGAACUAACUACGCUGCGCUCCACGGUGAACAGGGACGACGUGAUACUCGAUAAAAGAUCCAAGUCCACCUCCUUUAAACCGGCGGACGAAAUAGUCAAAUUCCAAGUCCAUCCAACGGACCCUAUAAAAACAGCUUCCAUCGGGGCACAGUUAAACCCUGAUGUCGAUGCCGCACUGCGAGAGUUCCUACACGAGAACUGGGACAUUUUUGCCUGGCACCCUUCAGAUAUGCCAGGAAUCCCACGUAGCCUGGCCGAGCACAGCCUAAAUAUCCUAAAAGGAUUCAAGCCAGUCAAGCAGGCUCUUCGGCGUUUCUCCGAACCUAAGAGACAAGCCAUGGGAGAGGAACUAGCCAAGCUAUUGGAGGCCGGAUUCAUCAGAGAUAUAAAACAUCCAGACUGGCUAGCGAACCUGGUGAUGGUACCAAAGAAGGACAAAUCCUGGCGCUUGUGCGUCGAUUUUAAGGACCUUAACAAGGCCUGCCCAAAGGAUCCAUUCCCCCUCCCCUGCAUCGAUCAAAUCAUCGAUGCUACCGCAGGACACGAUUCAUUGUGUUUCCUCGACACAUACUCCGGCUACCAUCAAAUUAAAAUGGCAGAGCCAGACCAAGCCGCAACGGCAUUCAUCACACAAUAUGGCCCAUUCUGCUUCAACACAAUGCCCUUCGGGUUCAAAAAUGCCGGCGCAACAUAUCAGCGUAUGAUUCAGACAUGUCUGGCAAACCAGAUCGGCAAAACAGUGGAGGCAUACGUAGAUGACGUGGUCGUCAAAACCAAGCAUAUUGAAUCUCUAGUAGACGACUUAAGGCUCACAUUCGAUAACCUCCGAACAUAUGACAUCAAGCUCAAUCUGGAAAAUGCGUUUUCGGUGUACCAGCCGGAAAGCUCCUGGGAUUCAUUGUCUCCAGUAGAGGUAUUGAAGCUAAUCCGGCCAAAAUCCGAGCGUUGUCACAGUUGGCUACCCCAACAGACCUCAAACAAAUCCAGAAGCUAACUGGAUGCGUGGCGGCUCUAAGCCGCUUUAUCUCCCGCUUGGGAGAAAAGGCCUUACCCCUUUAUCGCCUCCUUUGGCGCACCAAACACUUCGAGUGGACGGACGCGGCCACAGCCGGAUUGGAAGAAAUAAAGGCCAUUUUGGCAACCAACCCGAUCCUGGCCGCACCAAACAUCAGCGAACCAAUGAUGUUGUAUAUUGCGGCAACUCAUCAAGUUGUAAGCGCGGUGCUCGUUGUCGAACGGGAAGCGGACAGACACAAAUUCCCUCUUCAAAAGCCGGUAUACUAUGUAUCCACUGUCCUCACUCCAUGCAAAUCACGGUACCCGCAUUACCAAAAAAUAGCAUAUGCGGUAUUCAUGGUAUCACAGAAACUGCGACACUACUUUCAAGAGUGUUCGAUUACAGUAGCCUCGGAAGUGCCACUUAAUGAUAUUAUCAACAACCGUGACGCUACGGGCCGGAUUGCCAAAUGGGCCAUUGAGCUCCUCCCAUUCGACAUAACAUACAAACCUCAUCGAGCCAUUAAAAUCGCAAGUACUGGCCGACUUCGUCGCCAAAUGGACGGAGGCUGAACUCCCUAAAGAGUAUGGCGCAUACUCCAAUUGGAUCAUGCACUUCGACGGUUCCAAAAUGCUGGCCGGUCUAGGGGCUGGCGUCGUCCUGACGUCCCCAACCGGAGAUACCGUUCGGUACAUAUUGCAAAUAUUGUAUACAGAUUCCAACAAUGCAGCCGAAUACGAAGCUCUGUUGCAUGGUCUUCGGAUGGCAGUCUCCAUGGGCAUUCAACGCCUGGAGGUGCGUGGGGAUUCAAACCUCGCAAUAUCCCAAAUAAAUGGAGAUUUUGACGCCAAGGAUCCAAAAAUGGCGGCCUAUUGAAACGUCGUCCUCAAAAUGUCAGCUCGGUUCGAGGGACUCGAAUUUCACCACGUGGCUUGGGAAAACAACCAGGCGGCGGAUAUCCUCGCCCGCAUCGGCGCAAAACACGACGCGGUCCCUCCCAACAUAUUUCUGGAAAGGCUCUUCAAGCCAUCCGUAGAAUGGGAAGGGGACACCGGUAACAAUAGCCCGGAUCUGGCCAAAAUACCCGAUACCGAACUCUCUGACACAAUCAGAGGCUCCGCCACCGAAAAAACACCUUCAGCCCACGAAAUAAUGGCCAUUAUUGCCCCGUGGACAGAACCAUUCCUGGCCUACCUAACUAGACAGGAACUUCCGGAGGACCAAAAUGAGGCACGCUGCAUAGUGCAGCGAUCCAAGGCCUACGGGGUCCAUGAGGGAGAGUUGUACAAGAAAAGCACUACCGGAGUCCUUCAAAGGUGCAUCUCCGAAGAGGAAGGGCGGAAUCUUUUGGCAGAAAUUCACGCCGGACUCGGCGGUCAUCACGCCGCAGCCUGGGCUCUUGAAAGCAAGGCUUUCCGUACAGGAUUCUAUUAGCCAACGGCCCGGGCAGAUGCACAGGACUUGGUCCAACGUUGCGCCGGUUGCCAGCUCUUCGCAAAUCAAAGCCACAUGCCACCCACCGCCCUCUAAACAAUCCCCAUUACAUGGCCCUUCGCGGUCUGGGGGCUUGACAUGGUUGGGCCCCUUAAAGGGGGAACCCACAAGAAAAAAUACUUAUUGGUAAUGGUGGAUAAAUUCACCAAAUGGAUAGAGGCUAAACCAGUUAAAACAGCCGAAUCCAGACUAGUGAUAGAUUUCAUAUCCGGGGUUGUACACCGUUAUGGCGUCCCCCACAGCAUCAUCACUGAUAACGGCACGAACUUCACGGCCGACGAGGUAAAACUCUGGUGCAGCAAAAUGGGCAUCAAGCUCGAUUAUGCUUCAGUCUAUCACCCACAAACCAACGGUCAAGUCGAACGAGCAAACGGUCUUAUAAUGAGCGGCAUUAAACCCAGAUUAGUGCGUUCCUUAACGGAGUCUGACACGCACUGGGUAGAGGAGCUCGACUCCAUACUCUGAGGGCUGUGGACCACACCGAAUCGUAGUAACGGAUAUACACCGUUUUUAUGGUGUACGGCGCAGAGGCAGUCUUGCCAUGUGACAUAAUUCAUGACUCACCUCGAGUGCGCAUGUACGAAGAAAGAGAAGCCGAGCUCGAUCGACAGGACAGUCUGGACACCUUGGAGGAAGAGCGCGACGUAGCCAAAGCCCGUUCCACAUUUUACCAGCAACAGGCUCGCAGAUACCAAAGCAGAGAAGUAUGGGCCAAAACUUAUAACGUUGGCGAACUAGUUCUAUGCCUGCCGGAUAAGAAAAAGAACAAACUCGAGCCCAAAUGGGAAGGUCCCUUCAUUAUCGACCAAGUUCUGACCGGUGGAGCGUACCGACUGCGGGAUGCAUCGACUAGUCGACUCGAGCCGAACCCAUGGAACGCAGCCAGGCUCCGAAGAUUCUACGCCCAGCACCGGACUCUAUGUUAGUCCCUUCCCUUUGUCCAUUUUCUGCAUAUGCAUCAUCUGUCUUGUUUCCCUUUCUUUCUUUUUCUUAUUAUUCCUCUAGUCCUUCAAGAGUCACCUUGUGCCUCACUUGUACAUUACAGAUGCGCUAGCCGCACUCUCCAUACCUGGGGGCUUCUUUCACAGAAGCUUAAAUUAUUUAUCUGGGCCUCACGCCCAACACAUGUGUUAUACUUCCGCAUGUACCUUUUUUCACCAUUAUAUGCAUCAAUAUGACUUAAGUUUUGGCCAAGCUGGGUUGCCUGGCUCUUGUAUUUAUGCCCUACGUUCCCGUUAAUUCGGCUAGGGCAUAAGGGGAGCACCUCUGCGAUUGUUGCUGGCGGGUCAGCCGGAUGUGUACCUCAGAUUGGGUGAAGCCGGAAGCUAGUGUUCUUAAGGGAAUAUGUGGUCGGUGAACAAAAGAUGACUUUUAUUAUCCAUAUCUGCCCCCAGAUGCUUUUUCUGUGCUUCUUAUCGCAGUCUAGACAUGCACUUUAGGGCAUGCUUACCCAGGGAAAGGAACCCUUAACGAAACUAUUCUCCCUGGAAGAUGUUUCUUACUACCCAUGUAAUAUAACAUAACUAGUUGGGCACUUGUCCGAUAAAGCACUAAUGACCCCUACGCCCUGUCUCCACGCAUACCCCGGUUCUUAUAUAACUAAGCGGGUAUUCGGAUUCACUCCGGACUAUCGGGCCCGGAGGUUGAAGCGAAAAGGUCCGCAACGACAAAUGAUCUACAAUCCGGCUAGAAGGCAUUAUACAUGUCACUUUAAUUACAUAGUCAUACAGACUGACUAAACUCCUCUUCUAUACCAUCCAACAGGCGGUCUAGCUUACAAUCCUGUUGGGAAUACUUUGCGGCUAAUUCUACUUGCCCAUAAACUAAGCUAACGGGGAUCUCUUUUCCGUCGGGCCCCACAGGUCCGACCUCGGCCAUGUUAUUUGGGUCUGCCUUGGUAUACCGAGUCUUCACCAUGGCCCAGGCCUCUCUGGCACCCUGUCGGCACGCCAAUAUCUUCCAUAAUCGGAGGCGCCGCCGUGCUCCCUUGAGCUUCUCCGUAAGCUCUGCAACGCCCUCUGGCAAGGAGACAGAUGGCCACAAAGCCUGGGCAACACCUUGCAUCACCUGCCGAACUUGUUCGUGCAGAUGUGACAGCUCGGACAGAAGAUCACCCGCAGACCCGGGCAUUUCCUCUGCGGGACGACCCGUCAGCAUACCUACAGACAUAACGCUGUUAAUCGACUUCCUCGCCGAACUAUUUUUCAAAGUUCGUUCAAGCACUUACUAAAUAUGACGCGUCGAAGCCGCCGAUUCUCCUUCACGGAAUCCGACAGUUGGGCAUGAACAUCCUUUAGUUCCACGCCCAGCUUGGUGUAGGCAUCUAGGAGAUCAUUCUUCUCCUGCCUCACCCUCGUAAGCACGCUCUCACCGGCCUUCAGCUGACGUUGGAGCUGUUGCUUAUCAGGAUCUACCCCAGCGACAUCUGUAACUUUAUCGUCAGAUCUGCAUAUACGCCGCAUUCUAUAUGAUACUUAUCAUUCGAAGGAUAUAUUACUAGAGGGGGUCUCUUUGGGCUCCCCUGCUACGACCAGUGCGGCCUGAAGUUGGGCUUUGCACUCUUCCAGCUCCUGGGACAGUUGGGUAUUCUUUUCUGUAAGAACCUGCAUAAAAAAUGAUCCUUAAAUUAGUUAUUCUAACUGUUUCAAGUCUCAGGGGCUACUGAUAUAUAUAACCACCAAAUUUUCUCACCCGUAUGUCUUUUAGAUACUGCUCUGUGGCUCUGGCUAGACCAUUUUGAGCAUCAUGGAGGUACGCAUCUCCCGAGUUGAAGGCAUCCAAUGCCUCUUGGGAGAAACAAGCGUCACGAAGAACAGUCCGGCGACGCCUGUGGUUCAUGGCACUUUCCACCUCAGAAUUGGUGGCGGACAAUUUAUCCGCAUCCUCUGUCGGAGGAGCACCCGGCACACGCCUCGUAUUCAUUCCCGCCUCCGAAUCCGGCCUUGGAGCCUGGCUGGUGGAGGCGCGAUUAGUAGCCUCUCCGGAUAUAGUCCGGCGAGUGCUCCUUCUCCUAAACAGAAGGCAUGGGCAUUAAUAUGCUCCCGAAAAUUAUGUCUUGGAAUAAGAGACGGCACGCCGUACCGCUGUGCCGGUGUCUCAAUCCGGACCGCGGGUCUUUUCAGCCUGCCUGGCCCCGCGGCCCCUUGUUGGCUAGUCGCCAUAGGCUCGGCCUUCCUUCUCGAGGACCUCCCCUGCAAAACUCGGUUGUUAUAUGGUAAUCAGAAACACGCAAGGACGGAUCCCUUUUCAAAGUACUGGGAUUUCGGUCUCAGUUACCUGUGAGGCUGGAAGUAGCCACGGGUAAUCGGCCGUAAUGGCCACCAAAGCGUUGUCAUUGCUCAAUUGGUAAAAUACCCCAUCGAUCAGCUCCACAAAUAUGUCCGGAUCCUCCUGGGUGGCCGGGUCCAGGGAUCGUCCAGGGUCCUCGGGUUGUGGAGGGGGGUUGUUUAUCUCCCUUACAGCCUGACGCAGCUCCUGCAUUGAAAUCGCUAGACUGAAUACUUAACUAUGGGAAAAUGAAACGAAUGGGCGAGAAAAAGUCUCCGCUUACCCAGCUCGGAGGAUUGUACAUAGAAAAUCCGCCCUGCGGGUUGACAUGGAGGAAUUCCUCCUCUUCUCCCUUGUACAAAGUGGAUAAGAUCUUUAUUAGAUCAACAACCGAUCCCGGCCCUUUACAGACGUAGCGGGUGGGCGUCAUCCUCCCCAUUGAAAUCCCACAUGGGGUGGCCUCUAUACUAAAGCGGUUGCACCCCCCUCAUGAUACAUAUGGCCAUGACCUCAAUCAUGGUCAAUUCGGAUCGAGCUAAAAAACUUAUCCGGCUCAUCAGGUAAAGGACGUCCCUGUCAUCUUCCUCCAGGGAGCUCCAUGGACGCCAGCUCCGGCACUUCUUCAAAGGAGCGUUGUCGAACUCAGGAAGACCGAUUCGAAUAGGAUCCGGGAUGGGGACGUCUUCUAUAUAAAACCAUUCUGAAGGCCAGUCUUCAGACGUCUUCUUUGGGGUUCCGGACAGAUAUCCGGUCCCGGCAAUACGCCACACUUCGGCUCCGCCCACUUGAUAUAUUGACCCCUUCUGGGAAUGGGGCACAAGGCAGAACAACUUCUUCCACAGCGCGAAAUGAGCCUCACAGCCUAAAAACAGCUCGCAAAGGGCUAUGAAUCCCGCGAUAUGCAAUAUGGAGGCAGGCGUAAGAUUGUGUAACUGGAGGCCGUAGAACUCCAGGAGCCCCCGGAGAAAUGGAUGAAUUGGAAAUCCAAGCCCUCUUACCAAAUGAGGGACAAGGCAUACCCGCUCUCCCUUCAAGGGAUUGGGAAGGCUCUCCGCUUGCUCUCCGCCGUUAUAGGUGGCGAGCCCGGCUCGAACCGGGACCAUGUACGCUGGGGGAAGAAAUCCCUUGGUCUGAAGCAUCACUAAUUUGCUGUGCGGGAUAGAACAUCUCCCCCAAUCUCUAGGCUUGGGGCUAGGGGAGCGAGAGGAGGAGCUGCGUCGACUGGCCAUGAUGGAAUGGAUCUCUGUCGGGUGCACUCCGAUGAAGGCUCGCCAAGGGAGGAUGGUGUGAUUUGGAUCUGAAUCCUCGUCUUUUUAAUAGGUGGCUCAUUCGCACAGCUAGGGGGGUAAACGUAAAAACACCCUGGCCCUUCACAUUCACUCGACACGUGUAAAGUGGCCAUUAUGGGGCGUGGAAGCCAAGGAGUGCAACAUUCACAAGGGGCCAGACACUAUUUCAACAGGUACACGGAAUUUGGAGAGGAACCCGCCUUGCAAUGCCGAAGACAAUACUACGCGCCGGACUCGCCGCCAUUGAAGCCUGGUUCGGGGGCUACUGAGGGAGUCCUGGAUUAGGGGGUCUCCGGACAGCCAGACUAUAUCCUUUGGCCGGACUAUUGGGCUAUGAAGAUACAAGAUUGAAGACUUCGUCUCGUGUCCAGAUGGGACUCUACUUGGCGUGGAAGGCAAGCUAGGCAAUACAGAUAUGGAUAUCUCCUCCUUUGUAACCGACCUUGUGUAACCCUAACCCUCUCCGGUGUUUAUAUAAACCAGGGGGUUUUAGUCCAUAGGACAACAACAACCACAACAUACAAUCAUACCAUAGGCUAGCUUCUAGGGUUUAGCCUCUCCGAUCUCGUGGUAGAUCUACUUUUGUACUACCCAUAUCAUCAAUAUUAAUCAAGCAGGACGUAGGGUUUUACCUCCAUCAAGAGGGCCCGAACCUGCAUAAAACAUCGUGUCCCCUGCCUCCUGUUACCAUCUGGCCUAGACGCACAGUUCGGGACCCCCUACCCGAGAUCCGCCGGUUUUGACACCGACAGGGGGCAAAAUGCUUCUUCCAGAUCAGAGCACCUUCUCUGCCCAAGAGUGCUUCUUCAUCAAGAUUUGAUUUGCGGUCCCUGGUACCUUAAUCAGGGUUUUGAUCCAUGUCUAUGCUCUGAAAACCUGGGGAUGAAGAGUGUGCCUGAUUAGCAUAAAUGGGCAUGGGAAAGCCAAGAGGAGCAGUCAUAACUGAAAGAGACAAUUCACCAUUGUCAGCUUGCACUUUAUUAGAUUCUUUACCAGUAACCUCAGCCUGGGCAGCCUUUAACUGUUGAGUCAGCUCUUCUUUCUCAGGAGAUGUUGCAGCAACCCCUAAAAUGGAGGCCUCAGUUGCUAACUUGUUGAUUGUUCCACAAAGAGUGGAAGGUGAGUGUUGAUGAAUAGUAGCAAGGAAUUCAUUAAGCAUAGGAUCAUCUUUUGAAUCCCUAUAGUAAGUGUCAGUUUGAGGGAGAAUGGCCUCAAGAUGUGGAUCAGGCAACAGAUUCAGAACUGGGGCUACCUCCAUGUCUUGUUGAUGGGCCUCCAUAAUAGGAAAGUGGGCUGCCUCCAGAACUGGCAGGUAGGCUUCAUUGUCUUCCAAGAGCUGUUGGGCCAAGGGAGCAAUAUCUGGCCCAUUGGGAAAAGCAUCCAGGUUUAAAUCAGGGAUAUGUUGCUCGUUUGGCGCCAAAGGGCCAUUGGCAGAUGCAUCUGUACUAUGACUGUUGUCAGAAGGUGCCAUGGAUGCAGUGAUGCUGCUGUGAGCCACAAGAGCCAGAUUCUCCUCCUCCAGAGGUUCCAUAAUUUCUUGCAACUCCAAGAAUUCACCAACAUGAAGUUCAAUGUCUACUUCUUGGGGCAUGGCCCAGUGGCCCCAGCCAGGUAAAUCCCCUUUCUCAUCAUUCUCAUUGUUAUUCUCAUCCUCUGGUUGUGCAUUCAUAGCAACAUCAACAAGAACAUUAAGGCCAAGCUAUAGAUUCAGGUGGUUGCUUGGAGGUUGAAAGUUUCCAUGAACAUCAUAAUUCUCAUGCUGCUGAAGAGGGCCAAGGAAAUGGUUAUGUUGAUUUGGGUGAAAAUUAGCCAAAGGAGGAGCCGGCUGUGGAUUUCCAUUAGGAUCAAUAGGGUCUUCAUCUAGUGCCUCAACACCCAAAAUCUGCUGCUGUAAAAUAACCACUGGCACUGUUAAUGAAUCUGUGAAAAUCAUAGCCCUCUCCAAAGACAAUGCUAGAUGGGAUGUCCCCGAAUUCUUCCACACGCACUUUGACCAUGAGGUUAGCCCUAGUACUCCGCACUCUGUCCCAGCUUAAGAAUUUUCUAAACUUACUAACAUCAUUGUUGACCUCCUGAAUAUUCCUCCUAUCAAAAGGAUAGCCACACAACAAGAUCCAGACAUCUCUGUUCAUCACCAACUUUCUCCAGUUCAAACCCUUGUUGUGCGGUUGGAUGAUUACAUGAACAUCAGUAAAUUGAUGCUGUCCAUUAGAAACCAGAGCAUCUCAGUCAAAUACGCUAUUGAGUUUGAUGUACGCUUGACCAAAAGGACAGGGCUCAAUCUUUGAGAAACCAAUUUGCUUAUCUGUGAGAAAAUCAGAAAGUACCUCUCUGACGGUGUCAAAAGCAGCAGGGAGAUUGGGCAUGUGAACGAUAGAUGCAAUCGCCCAUUCUUCAUGAGUGGCUGGCGCCGCUCCAUUGAUGAUCUUGAUCCUUGCAGGUCUACCCUCGACUUCAAUACUGUGAUGAUUGGGUGGGAGGAACGGCGUGGGAUCGAAGGGGAAGGUGGCCAUUGCCGCAACACUACGACUCUGCGCCGGUGGAGGAGUGGAUGGGGUGGGGAGGGAUGUGGAGGGGCGGGCGGUCGCUGCUUGGAGACGAUGAGAGAUUAGUGGAGAAAUGCGAUGAAUGCUACCAACUCGGAGUGAAAGCAGAAGCGAAAUAACUUGAUUGGACUGAUUGGGUCGGCAGAGCGACGACGUGAUUAGUCUCAAUCACGGGAACAGUGGCGGGUUGCCUUGGAAUUGCGAUCACCGGGAGAUUUGGUGGGUUGGGCUCCUUGAUUGGGCUUCGACUGGCCAGUGCAAAGCAGUCCUUCUCAAUAUGUCCCCACUUUUUGCACUGUCGACAUUUGAUACGAUUUGUGUAGGCAGGCCUGUUGUGGCCCGUUAAGAGGCAGCAUACACAAAAUGCAGAUGAUCCCGCCCUGCGAUCAGAAACUGCUGCAUUGAUUGGGUUAGUAUUCGGGUGAUAAUGAGCCAAUGUUGAUGGAUCCGUAGGAUCACGCUCCUGACGAACCGGCGAAGAUCUGAGAUUGGAAAUGCGCGAAUCAUCGAAAGUAGCAGGAGAUCUAAGAGCUUGAAGGUAAGAUUUUCUAGGAUGCCUACAAAAGAUGUGGGUCCAUUCAUCCUCCUUUUCUUGUAAGUAUUGAUCAAGCUCGCAACUGGAGUUCAGUCCACCACUACCCCAGAGCAAAAAGUUUACAUUGAGCAUGGGAAUAGAGAUGUUUCCACCUUUGAUGAUGGAGAAACCCACCUCCUUAGAGGAGACCGAAAACUUAAAAGACCAAUUUUGAAGACGUUGAACACGCAAGAGAGAUGCUCUACCCCCAAAACAAGAUAGGAGAAUGGUGCUUAUAGAUUCCUCAGUGAGCCGGAUCUUGGAUCGUGUGAAUUCAGCCACUAGGAGGAAUUCCUCCAUCUCCUUACCAUCUUCGAAGUUAAUGGGGACACCACAUUUUCUCCAAACCUCAGCGGCAAUAUCUUGGCCAAUGUCGAAGUUAAUAUCAGCGAGCGCCAUGAUGGAGAGGAGGUUGAGGAUCGCCGGGGACCGGGCCGGGGAUGCCGGAGUGGGGGUGGACGCCGGGGCCGAAGUGGCCACCGGUGGCGUGGAGGCCCUAGGAGCGCCUAGGGAGAGAGGGAGCGCCUAGGGAGAGAGGAAAAAGACCUUCGUAUGAGAUUCUCUGAAGGGGAAAAGGCAGUACUAGAUCUCUAGACCUUGUGUUUUUAUUAGAGGAAUUACUAGGAAAAGGCCUAGGAUUAAAAUUAUCUCUAUCAGCAUUGUUAUUAAAAUUGUUUCGUGAGAUAAAAAUCACACCCAUGGUAUCACUAUUUUGCUCAAUCAAAGUAGACAAAGGCACAUCAUUAAAAUCAAUAGGAGCAUUUCUAUUAGCAACCAAUUUCAUAAGAGCAUCAAUUUUUUCACUCAAAGAAGAAAUUUCUUCAACCGAAUUAACCAUUUUACUAGUAGGAGCUCUUUCGGUAUGCCAUUGUGAAUAAUUUUUCAUGAUAUUAUCAAGCAAUUUGGUGGCUCCACCCAAAGUAAUUUCCAUAAAAGUACCACCCACGACGGAAUAUAAAAGAUUACGAGAAACAAAAUUCAACCCCGCAUAAAAUUUUUGUAUGAUCAUCCAAAGAUUUAACCCAUGAGUUGGGAAAUUCCUUAGCAUCAAUUUCAUCCUAUCCCAAGAUUAUGCAACAUGCUCAUGUUCAAGUUGCUUGAAAUUCAUGAUCUGAGUUCUAAGGAAAAUAGUUUUCGCGGGAGGAAAAUACUGAGUAAUAAAAUCAUCCUUGCACUUAUCCCAAGAAUCGAUACUAUUGCGAGGCAAAGAAGAAAACCAAAUUUUUGCAUGAUCUCACAAAGAAAACAGAAAUAAUUUCAACUUCACAACAUCAUUGGCCACAUCUUUUUUAUUUUGCAUAUCCCAUAACUCCACGAAUGUGUUAAGAUGGGACGCGGUAUCCUCAUUAGGAGUAUCGGAAAAUUGAUUUUUCAUAACAAGAUUCAGCAAAGCGGUAUUAAUAUCACAAGACUCUGCACUAGUGGCAGGAGGAGCAAUCGGAGUGCUAAUAAAAUUAUUGUUGUUGGUAUUGGAGAAAUCACACAACUUGGUGUUCUCUUGAGUCAUUGUGACUACGCAACAAGAUUGCACUCAAAAACACAUCUGACGAGAAAACAGCGAACGAAAAAGAGGGCGAAUAAAACGGCAAAUUUUUGUGAAGUGGGGGAGAGAAAAAGAGAGGCAAAUGGCAAAUAAUGUAAAUUGCAAGGAGAUGAGAUUUGUGAUUAGGAACCUGGUAGAUGUUGAUGAUGUCUUCCCGGCAAAGGCACCAUAAAUUCCUUUUGAUGAUUGCUUGAACUACGUCGGUAUUUCCUCAAAGAGGAAGGGAUGAUACAGCACAACAACGGUAGGUAUUUCCCUCAGUGAUGAGACCAAAGUUCUCGAACCAGUAGGAGAACCACGCAACACUACGUGAAUGGCACCUGCACACAAAUAACAAAUACUCGCAGCCCGACGUAUUAAAGGGGUUGUCAAUCCCUUUCGGGUAACGACGCCAAAAAUUGGCAAGUGGACGUGAGAAAGUUGUAAUAAAUUGAUAGAUAGAUCGCCAAAUAAAAUAAAGUGCAGCAAGGUAUUUUUGGUUUAAUAGAUCUGAAAAUAAAAGAAAAUAAAAAUAGAUCGUGAAAGGCAAAUAUAAUAAAGAAGAGACCCGGGGGCCGUAGGUUUCACUAGUGGCUUCUCUCGAGAAAAAUAACAAACAGUGGUAAACGAAUUACUGUUGGGUAAUUGAUAGUACUUCAAAUAAUCAUCACAAUAUCCAUGCAAUGAUCAUUAUAUAGGCAUCAUGUCCAAGAUUAGUAGACCGACUCCUGUCUGCAUCUACUACUAUUACUCCACACAUCGACCACUAUCCAGCAUGCAUCUAGUGUAUUAAGUUCAUGGAGAAACAGAGUAAUGCAAUAAGAACGAUGACAUGACGUAGACAAGAUCUAUUUAUGUAAAAAUAUACCUCAUCUUGUUAUCCUUAAUGGCAACGAUACAUACGUGUCGGUUCCCCUUCUGUCACUGGGAUCAAGCACCGUAAGAUCGAACCCAUCACAAAGCACCUCUUCCCAUUGCAAGAUAAAUGGAUCAAGUUGGCCAAACAAAACCCAAAUAUCGGAGAAGAAAUACGAGCCUAUAAGAAAUCAUGCAUAUAAGAGAUCAAAGAAGACUCAAAUAACUUUCAUGGAUAAAAAGAUAGAUUCGAUCAUAAACUCAAAGUUCAUCGGAGCCCAACAAGCACACAGCAAAAAGAGUUACAUCAUAUGGAUCUCCAAGAGACCAAUGUAUCGAGAAUCAAAAGAGAGAGAGAGAGAGAGAGGAAGCUAUCUAGCUACUAACUACGGACCCGUAGGUCUACAAUGAACUACUCAUGCAUCAUCGGAGAGGCACCAAUGGACAUGAUGAACCCCUCCGUGAUGGUGUCUAGAUUGGAUCUAGUGGUUCUCGAACUUGCGGCGGCUGAAAUUGAUUUUCGUCGACUCCCUUAGGGUUUCUGGAAUACUGGGGUAUAUAUAGAGCAAAGAGGUGGUUCAGGAGGCCACCGAGGUGGGCACAACCCACCAGGGCGCGCCCAGGCCUCCAGGCGUGUCCUGGUGUCUUGUGCUCACCUCAGGCUCCCUCUUUGGUACUUCUUUAGCCCACUGGAUGUCUUCUGGUCCAAAACAAAUCCACAAAAAGUAUCGCUGCAUUUGGACUCCGUUUGGUAAUGAUUUCCUACGAUGUAAAAAACAUGCAAAAAACAUCAACUGGCAAUGGGCACUAUGUCAAUAGGCCAGUACCAAAAAAUGAUAUAAAAUAAUUGUAAAACAUCAAAAAAUGAUAAUAUAACAACGUGGAACAAUCAAAAAUUAUAGAUACGUUGAAGACGUAUCAAUCACCCAGACUCCAAAGGGAAAUACUUAAUUAGUAAGCGUUUUCAAAAUUUAACGUAGUCCAAUUGGCACCCUAUAUUUGCAUGAUCCUCUAGUCGGUAAAGAUUUUAGCAUGAGAAAGAUAGACCAUCCAACCCUCACAAUGUGCAUGCAUAUAAAUGUAUGGUAUUAUAAGUAAAGCACCUUGGUAAACCGUAAAUAAGUGUUAAGCAAGAUGUUCAUCCAAGCUUUACCGUCAUGGUCACUCAUUAGAUCUCAUCAUUAUUACCCAGUUGCUCCAGUGAAUAAUUUUUGAAACAUAAUAAGCAAGUGUAACGAGGACCACAAGGAGUUAUAUUCUGCAAGGCAAAAUAACAAUACAAAGAACAAUGAUCUUUUUUGGAUUUUUCGGUUAGCAAAAAUAAAAUAACUUAUAUACAAGAGAGAAGAAAGCGAGUGAAAAGCACUUCAAAAACAAAGAAGAAUCAAAAAUAACAACUGAUAAACCAAACAAUAACCAAGAGAAACCUUUUUGGAAAUUUUGUUUUGUUUUUACACCUGGAUAAAAAGCAAAGAAAAAGACUCAAAAAGAACCAAAGAAACAUCAAGCAGAACUAAGAAUAAAAUUAAGUGAGAAAAGAUAAAAUCAAUUCUUUUUGUAUGUUUGAAAGGAAUAAGAAGAAAGGAGAAAGCAAUAAUAGUAUUUUUUUUCUUAAACAUUUAGAACAACAAGAACAACCAAAUAAACACAAGGAACAUGAAUAUUUUUCUUAUUUCAAAAGAUCAUGAGUCAAACCAAAGAGAACAAGAGAAGAAUGAAUGAAAUGUUUUUGGAAUUUUCUUUUUAAAGAAACAUAAGAAGCAACUAAGAACCAAAUAAUGAAAUAUUUUUGGUAAUUUGUAAGUGCAAGAAUGAAAAGAAAGAAAGCAAAAUUAGUAGCAAUAUAAAUCAUUUUUAUAACGAAACAUGUAGGCUGAAAAAUGAUUAGACCAACAGACUAUCAAACAUUUAAGAAGGGCAUUUUAGGUUCACCGAAUAGAUUGUUUUAGGGUUUUAGCCCUUUAUUUAAUUUUGAGGCUUUUAAAUUCCUCAAUUCAAAUUUCAAUGAACUUAGACAUGAUGCAUGGAUGCUUCUAAAUGCAACUAUUUACACUAUUUGUUCUAGGGUUGUGACACAAACAAAAAGCACAACAAGUUUACCAAAGGAUAAAGUAUAUCAAAGAUGACGAAAAAUGGAGGCAUACGUAUUCCCCCAAGGCCGGCUUUUGUCCAAGGCUUGGCAAUCUCACUGUCUUGGACCAUCGGGUAGUAAAACAGUGCAUGUGGUUGAUAUGCCGCGUGUUGGUCUAGUUCCUCCUCCUCAUAAUACUCUAUCAUGUCUGUGUUAUUCAUGUUCCAUCUUCCCUGGUUUGAACAUGAAAGAAAAUGUGCAAGGAAGUGGCAUAGUCCAAGAGCAAUUGUCUCCGUUAGUAACAAAAGUAUAUACAUAAGGUCCUCUCACAUCUUCAAAAUUUUGAGUAGUAAUGAUUUUUCAAUGCGAGGGCAUCAAAAUAUUCAGAACAUGACGCUUCAUAAUUAUUUGUGGUGUCAAGUGCAUUCAACCGCACACAAAGUGGCAAUAACACCACAACAAAGAUUAUAAUUUUAGCUAUCAGAAAGAGCAUGCAUAGAUAACUCAUAAUUAUCCUUGGCGCUAAACCGAAGGUAAAUGUUGCAUGUAAGAACACGAAGUUCAUGCAUGCUGAUAGCGAGGCGGCAUUUAGGUUGCACAUAAGAAUAUAGUAGGAUAGUAGGUGACGGUUCAUGGUAAACGAGAUGGUGAAGAUCGGAGAGUCCUGAUGUGUUGGCUUUAAGAAUGAAUCAUUUGUACAAUGUUUGCAAUGAUGAGGAAGAGACAAGGGAUAGAGGAUCAUCCUGCCUCAUCGCAUUGCGCCGGAUAUCAAAUUGCCCGAGACGUUGUUCAAACGCCUUUUAAAGACAAAUCCUAUCACGUCACAAGGAUAGGAGAGUCAAAUUUAACUUUGGCAUUUAGGGAGCUAAUUUGGACGAAUUUCGAGCCAAAAACACGAGACUAUUCGUCAAAUAUUUGCUUAUAGGAAACUUUAUUUUUUGAGAAACAACCAAGGAAACAAAUCUUCAAAUCAAAGAAAUAAAAGGGAAGUUUAUAAAAAGAGGGAAGAAAAGAAGAGGCCCAAAAGCAGCCCAUAGAGGCAUUGACACAGCCGUUUGAAAUGAAAGGAAAAAGUCGGAAGAAGAAAGAGGAGAAAAGAAAAGGCGAAACCUCUCCCGCGAGACCGAGAAGAAAAAGCCGGCAGGGCGGGCUGGUGGUGGUGGGAGGCGCGCGCGGGUGGGGUGGGCGUCGUGGGCGGUGGCAGCACAAACAAGCAAACCUUCCAAUUUACUCCUCCCCACCUUCCCAUCCUCCUCCACCUCCUCCUUCCCCCCUUCCCCAAAUCUCAAAAUUCCCGAUUCCCGUCUCAACGAGCCCUCCUGCGCCGUACCAAAGCUCACGAGCACACGCCACGUGAUUCCGAUCCCGCUAGAGGAAUCCCGAGGCUCGGCUCGGCUCUGUCGCCGGCAUGCGGCGGGGCGGCGGCGCUGCGACGGCCGUUGCGGCUGCGGCGGAGGCGGAGGGGGACGCGGGGGCGCGGUUCCGCGGCGUGCGGAAGCGGCCGUGGGGCCGGUACGCGGCGGAGAUCCGCGACCCGGCCAAGAAGGCGCGGGUAUGGCUCGGCACCUUCGACUCCGCCGAGGACGCCGCCCGCGCCUACGACGCCGCUGCGCGCAUGCUGCGCGGGCCCAAGGCCAAGACCAACUUCCCCCUCUCCCUUCCCCACCACCGCCAACUGCCGCCCAGCUACUCGCCCUACCCCGUCGCCGCCGCCGCCGCUGUCCCGACGUCGGUCGCCGCGGCGGCGGCCAGGCCAGCCUGCAGCAGCCUGAGCUCCACCGUCGAGUCCUUCGGCGGCCCGCGGGCGCGGCCGGUGCUCCCGCCGCGGCCUCCGCCGCCGCCGAUCCUCGACGGCGACUGCCAUAGCGACUGCGGGUCCUCGGCCUCGGUGGUGGACGACGACUGCGCGGACGCCGCCGCCUCGCCGUCCUGCGGUCUCCUGCUCCCGUUCGACCUCAACCUGCCCCCGGAGUUUGGCGGCGUUGCAUGUAACGACGACGACGAGCUGAAGCUGACGGCGCUGCGGCUCUGAAGUCAGAACCACCCGGUGGUGGUUAGAGAAAAAGGAUAAGGAGAAAAAUAUUUGGUUCUUCCCUUCUCUCCAUAGCCAGCACGAUCCACCUCCACGCUGUUGUUGCUGUUGCUGUUUACGUGAUCUGAUGAUGAUUAAUAUGGCCUGAUCUACGAAUCGGCCUGCUUGUUGCCGCUGGUAGCGGUGAUUAUUGCCGACUACUGCCGGCAGCUCGCCGUGGUUGUUGUAAUAUAGCAACAUUUUACUUGCUUCCUCUUGUGUGGAAGUAGACACCUAAAGUAACUUAUUUUCUUUUGUAGCCACAUGUGUUACUGUUACUCAUUUAGGCUCAUUUGCUUCGAAUUGAGAACAAUGGAAAACAAAGUUUUGUUUAUGAGAAUGAUACUGGGUGCUUAAAUGCUAGAAAAUUCGAGCUAAAAGUUGUUGUGUUAGAGGGAUGACCUUGAUCUUAAUUUCAACCUUGGUACAACCUUCUACCUGAAUACCCCCAUUAUUCUUCGAGUACUGUAAAUAGACUAACCUUACUAUGGUUCUCAUAAUGCUUAUGUUGCUAACAUGUGAUUUAUUCUGACAUGUAGUUUUGGUUCUUAAAUCAAGUCUCACACUGAUGUAGAUGUCUGUCAUAGAACGAAGAGAAGUUUACUUUGGCUGCUCAAGAUGAUGGGAUGUUUGUCCUAUUCUAAUUCAUAUAAAGUAAGUUCACAAACUAAUUUGUUGUGGACACCUUCAGCUAUGAUUAAUGCAUUUGGCAUAAUUUAGGCUGAAUCAUUAGCAUGUAUAAUUGGGCAUACUCCUGAGCUGAAAUCAACAGACAACACAACUGAUCAUGAUGACACAAGAUGCUAACAAGAUUAGUUCUGACAAUUAGCAAAGUUAUAUGCUAACAGCAAACUGUUAUCGAGUAACAUGAAAGUAAAAGGAUUUUGAAUAUACUCUUGUAUCCGUAGAUUUUUCGUUUCUGUUUGAUGUAUGCUAACGAGAUUAUAUUCGAUUGCUAAUUGGUUGUGAGGCCUACCCAAAAACCUCACAUUUCUUGGCAGUUGCAUAUGGCUGGCGCAGCAAUGGUGAUCUACUGAUCCUAUUAUGUAUAUCUUGUUACAUUCAUGUGAACAAAUAUCUAUCUACUUAGAGCGUUAUUUGUAAUUGAAGGAUAGAAGGAACUUUUAUUAGCUUAAGCCUACCCACAAACCUCACAUUUCUUGCAACUUCCAUAUGGCUGGCGCAGCAAUGGUGAUCCACUGAUCCUAUUAUGUAUAUCUUUGUUACAUUCAUAUGAGCAUACAUCUAUCUACUCAGGGCUUUAUUUAUAAUUAGAGAAUAGAAGGAACUUUUAUUAGCUUAAUAAUCACAUUGUCUUUGUUGUACAGUAAUUUAUUUGUAUGUGGUGACAGAGUUCCACAUGAAUAGUAUUUUGACUACCGUAUUACAUGCAUAGCACUCUGUGAUAUUACCAUUAGGAUAAGUUGAUUUUGUUAUGGAAGACAUCUGGAACUCCACGUUCUUUUGGAUAUUCCAGUUUCCUGUUUUUUGCAUCCAUCAGGACAAAUUGGAUGACCAUUCAGAUGGUAAAUUUAUGAUAGCAGGUGCAUUGGGUUUGCCUAUGAAUAUGUGCUUGGAUACAUACAAGAAUGCACUGCAUCCUUUCCCUUAGUAACCGUGUUGAUGUUUUAGUUGACGUGGAAUUUUUUCCGGGUGUCUUCUAGGAAACAUGCUCUGCAAUUUUUUAUCAUAACAUAUCUGAUUAUGCAAGCGGUUGAUUGUUAUUCACAAAUAAUUUUCAUGCUAUUCUCCUAAGCAGCAGUGACGGACCAUGGCGCGCCGCACUCGAGCAAUGUUGCUCAGUUGCUAAGUAUGUGCUUCUGGUCUUUCUCCAGUCAUAUACUUUCUACAGUUGAUGCUUAUAAGGUGGAUUGAAAUUCCUUAUCGUGCUAUUAGUUUGGCAAAUUCUAUGGUAUCAUGAAAUUUACAUUAUUACGUGUUGUCAUGCGAUUUGGCCUUGUCGCAUGUCGCAUCACGUCUUUAAAGUACUGUAUUUAUGAACAGGCAUUAAGAAAAUAAUUCAGAAUCAUGUGAGACACCUCCCGAUAUGCGCAACAUUAUAUGGUUAUUACUCCUAUAUCGGAAGCUUUGGGGUUCCAAUGGCAAAAUAUUUACAGUGCACUGUCAUUCCUUCAUGUUUGGUACAUUCAGCAAGGGAUACUUACCUAACCAACCUCAAGUAUUGGAGAAAGGUGAUGUUUUGAAGUCAGCAGCUUCGUGAAUUACUCUAACCAAGUAGCAGUGCCAGCAACAAAGCAGUGGACAUCUGUUGCAUCUUGGGAGUGAUCUGUGCCUGGACAGCAGGGUUUGGAGCCAACUAAGGUACAUGUGGGAUGUUGCCAAUUUGUGAGUGCUUCUUUUCUAGCUGUCAACAAUUGCACAAAGGCUAUUUAUUUUUAGUUGUGAACACGGUACUCUAAUAUGCUAACGCUGUUGAGCGAUGUUUAAUUCUCUAAAAAUGGGGUGUCGUUAGGAAUAUAGUAUCUGGAGAUAUGGUUGGAUUGAUUUGCUUAUUUGCUAUACUGUUAGUACUUCGCAGCACAAUCCCCUGUUAGCCGGACUGCCACAAUAUACUUUAGGACAUCAGGGCGCAUCCUAAUAUCACUGACAUUCUAGCAGGCACACUGCUAGUUACAAUGGUAGCCAGAACUAUUUUUUACUGCCAGAUUCAAGUUCACUUAUAACCAAUUCUAGGAGGACGGCGAAAACCUUCAGACAAUCAAUUUCCUAACAUCUUGUUGUUAAUUACAAACAACCGAACAACCAAAAACCGUUACCUUGAAUCAUCUCUCUUGUGGCAGGAGUACCUAUCGGGAGGAGGACCGGAUGCAUAACAAGAAAAGAAAGAAUAGUAGUGGUGCAUGCGUGCAAACAAUCUAUAGAACCGAGCUCUUGUAAAGCUGAGUGUUCCUACGCUCAAAGCCCAUAUCUCAGAUGCAUGCCCAUUGGUAUAGCCCAUCACCAGGAUGAAAUUAUUCAUUUAGUGCAGUUCCCCUUUCCUCUCUUAUUCCAACUUCACAUCCUAACCACCAAAAGGAAGGGAGAAGCAAACUCGACCUGGUGUCUUUUGAUCAUUUUAUUGAUGCGAUUUUCAGUGAAAGCGGAGAUACGGCAAGUGUGAAGAGUCAACUAUUGCCCUAUAUGUCUCUAUCCUAAAUUAACACUUGAUGAGGAUUACUCAAGCAAAGUAUACCAUGUCAUUCUCAUUUUCUCAUAUCAGUUUCUAUUUGAUUGUAGAAUUAAGGAAAAAAGUGCAAUGUAGAAUAUCUGGUAGGCUAUAAUUAAAAACCAAAAUUUCAUACUGUUGCCGAGUUACUGUUGAUGCGAUGAAUAUGAUGUUAUUCCCUUGGGAUUAAGUUUCUUGAGAAAACACUAAAAAUCCGGUGACCUCUGUAUCUGGCUCAUCUCAAUCUUGUCAUUCAGAAGACUUGUAAAUUUGUAAUAAUUAUUAUUUGGAUCAUGCUUGAUACUCCACAGUAAUUUUGCUCAGAGGCUCUGGGUUAUCCAUACAUAUUACUUCUCACCCCGUGCAAAUUUCUUGGGUGCAUGUGCUCACAUGCCUGCUCUUAUUUUCUCUUGGGGGCAUCUACGUUCUCUCUCCAAUCUAAAUCUCUCGGGGCAUGCAAUGAUUGCUGGUCUCACAUGCAUCUUAUUUGUGUAUAAUUUGAUCUACUACUAUUGUUGAUGGCACUUGUUCUACUACUAUUAGUUUGUACUCCCUCCGUUUUUAUUUACUCCGCAUAUUAGCUUUGGUCAAAGUCAAAACUUUGUAAAUUUUGACGAAGUUUAUAGACAAAAAUAUUAACAUAAACAAUAACAAAUCAAUACCAUUAUAUUCAUUAUUGAAUACACUUUCACAUCAUAUAGAUUUGCUAUUGUAAAUGUUCAUAUAUUUUCUCUAUAGAUUUGGUCAAACUUUAUGAAGUUUAACUUUAGUCAAAUCUAAUGCAGAGUAAAUAAAAAUGGAGAGACUAGUACUUUGAUUUCCAUGUUCAUUGUUGUCGAACGAUGCCCGCCAUGUUAUUUCAAAAUACGUUAGAUCUAUUUUUUAUUCCAAAACGUAAAGUUAGCAGCUGGUAGUACUACUUGAUAGCCACCAAAGGUGCCCCAAAUUUUGCGCGCACAGCAGCACCAUUUCCCGUGAUAAUAUGUACGCUUGUGCAGGGUUAGCGGGCACUACUAACUAAUAUUGACCUCUUAUCGCAGCAUCUGCUCCGACAUUGCUGCCAUUAAUCUACAAAAAUGGUGAUCUUUUGAUUAGAUUCUUUCUUCUUGACUAAAUUAUUGGUCUGCUCCUUUGUUUCAGCUGCCCCCAGAUCCUGCGCGCUCGGUGUCUGCUGAUGAGCAUGCAAGGCAAGGGUCUCCCAUGUGAUGUGCCUGAUGCCGCGCACAAUUCCGUGUGCUAAUCGGCUGACAGAGACGGUGGCGAUCGUGCUUGUGGAUUGCAGGGCUGGACUCGUUUCUGGGCGCAAUAAAGCUUUGGUCAUGGCGCCGUUUCCAGCCCAUGUUGAGGUUCUCGGUGCCCCCGCGGUGCGUCUUUCUUCUCUCCAUCGUCCGUCUCUCCCUUUCCGAUUGGGUCGCCAUUAAUGCGUCAGCUGUUUGAUGAAAUGUGAGCCAGCUAAUCGCGGGCCUCUGCACGCUGUGCUGGCUGCAGUUUUGCUGUGCCGAAAGGGGUACCGCUCUGUUGCUUACUUUGUUUGUACAUAAAUUUCUCGACGGUUCGUUUACGUCUUCCUUUAUUUCUGCUUGUUUGUUAUGCACCGGUGCUUAGUGCAUCUAUAGCCGGACUGGGCAAAUUUGGCACCCAAACGUCACGAAAGCGUCUGGUCUGUGUCCGGACAUAUCCGUUUUGACUUCCUAUUUGUCCGUCCACGUUGUGAUUAGUGAAGGAAAGAGAGAAAGAAAAAAAAAAGAUGCUCCUUGGUGGGGCCAAAUCCUAUCUAGCGGACACAGUACCACUGACCGGACACGGCCGACACUUUUCAUAGUCAUCUCAUAUAUGAGGGACACAGUACCACUGACCGGACACACCCGACACUUUUCAUAGUCAUCUCAUAUAUGAGGGUAAUAUGAGGAGGGCGGAGGCUUUGAGGGGUAUGGUUGUGUUAACUUUUUUUUCUUUCUCUUGUCCAGUCAGUGGUCUUGUAUCCGCUGGUUAAUUUAAGGAGUCUGGCUGUAGAUGCUCUUGUCAAUACGCUGGAAGUAUGAUGCGUGUUGUGGAGAAGCGUUUGUUGAAGCUUAGGUGUGUCUUGAGGAAGUUCUGAUCUAUCUAAUUCUUGCCCCCAUUCGUCCUUUCUCCACAGUAGUAAGCAAGCUACGGUUGGUCUGAGUGAUCAAUUCCAUCUACCACAAACUUGUUGCUGUUAUGUACAGCUCAUAUGGUACUAAACAAAACAUAGAAGCCAGAACAGAUUUGGUCGACAACAGAUACGAUGUCAGCUGCGAACCUGAAAGAAAAUUCUCUGAGGAACAACGCAACAGAGAUCCUACAAUAACAAAGUAAAUGGCGUAUGGGUAGAUGAUUGCGAUUUGUUUUCCUGCCUUGACCAGGUCAACCCAUUUGAGGAAGGAUGGUAUAAUGGCAACUUGGCGAGAAGGAUUCAUUUAAGAAGCGGCCAUGGCCGCAACAACCACCGUCCUCUCCCCUCCCCUGUGGUUAAGUUAGGUGGGAGAUUAGGUUUUUAAGCUUUGAGCCGUUCCUUUGGCUCCAUCCUCCUUUCCAGUCCAUAAAAAGCACAGCACAUUCCAACUGCCACCUUGCUCCGCCGCGUUCCGUCGCCUCACAGCUGUGUGUGCUGCCCCGUGAACUCUUCUGUUCCGUUGUGCGCUUCCCUUUAAUUAGGCCGCUGUCAGCUCCAGCAGGCUUCUGAAACUCCAAUCAUAAGAACCACCCUGCCCCUUCCAUCGCUCCUGCCUGCCUCCCUUCCGGCUCUCUCUCUCCUCCUCGUUUCCUCUCGUCAAUUGUGAUCGAGAGGGCAGCGAUAGAGAAGAAGGGCGGGGAGGAGAAACAAGGAUCGCCCAAGAGGUUCUUUCUGAUCAGUUCAUCGCCAGGCAUCAUCAUCGUCAUCAUCAUCAUUAUUUCUUAAUGGCCGUGAGUACCUAUCUCACUACGCUUACAUCUCCUCUUUUGUGGUUACCGAUGCUUUACUACUGUCUACUCAGUGCAUGCAUGCACGCAUGAUUUCGACACUGUUAUGGCCGCUUGAUCAUGUAUUUGUUUUGUUUUUAUAAUUUUGGCUCAUGAUUGCUGCGUCUGCGUAAUGGUUUCUCUAUAUAUUUUUCAAGCACUCUGUAGUACACGUAUGGCCGUAUGGAAUUGACCAUGGUUGGGUGGGUGUGGAACGAUGAUGGAUCAUGGGGCGGUGCCGCCGUCCCCAUGUGCGAGCAUCAAGUUGGCAACACAUGGUUAUUGUUAGGCAGCGGCAGCAGACAAGGAGUUAGGGCUCACGGAUCUGGGCAUGAUAUGGAGGGCUCCGGCACAUGGCAUGCUCCGUCCUCAGAUCCAUCCAACAUGAUCGCUCUCAUCCUCGAGCACAAGGAUUCUUCAGAAUGGGGAAAAGGAGGCCGAGCUUUUGCUUUGCUUGGGAUGGACGAUUGAGUGUUUAGAAUUAGACGUCCAAGCCACUCCUCUCUCUCAUGCCUACUAUCCGGUGCAUUUGGCACUGCCCGGUCUAGUUUGGUGUUCAUUACCCGCUAGCUAGCUGUCGUUGGGUUUGACAUAUCUGUAAUGUGACAGCUGACGACGCGAGCAGCAGCACCAGCAUGGUGUUGGUUUUGCUUUCCGACGACGUGUACGUUGGCUGGCCUUAGCUGGGAGCUUGCUGACAUACAUACGUGUCAUACCUAAUUUUUCCUCCUCAUCUUUAAGCGCCGCUAAUUACAACCUGGAACUUAUUAAGGUUCGACCUGGUCUGAAUUUUUAAGCAACGAGAAAAUGUCUAAAGAAACAGCUCAGGACUUUGUAAAAUUAUAGGGACUGUCUAUUCUACAUCCGGAUGAAAUUUAAUUCGCUUUCAUUCAUAUUUUUCAGUCAACUAAAGGAUGACAAAUGUCACAUGUCUCGUGUCCUCUAUUCCCCUAUUCUUUCUGCCCACCAAACUAUAAACGGGUCCACACCCUAAACCUGUACAGAAAGCAGCUAAAAGCUAACAAAAGGUGGACUAAGCUAACUACAGGAGGAUGAAAAGGAUCAAAACUGAUGACAUCUAACCACACAGCGCCGAAUAACACUCUGAGCACUAAAAUACUGAGAAAUUACAGUUGCUGAUGCUGUGAAUCAACUAUACAAAGGGCUAAAAUACCACUAAUAAUUAUAGUGUAAAAACCACAGAAAAUGCACAGUAAUCCACUAAAAAUCCAUUGCAAUUCCACUAAAAAUGCCACUUGCAAAUACAGAGCAAAAAUCCACUAAAAAUACAAUGUAAACCCACUAAGAUUUACACUGUAAAUUCCACUGCAAUUCGACUAAUAAUUACAGUGUAAAAACCACUGCAAAUGCACAGUAAUUCCACUAAAAAUGCCACUUGCAAAUACAGAGCAAAAAUCAACUAAAAAUACACUGUAAACCCACUAAGAUUUACAGUGUAAAUUCCACUGUAAUUCCACUAACAAUUACAGUGUAAAAACCACUGAAAAUGCACCGUAAUUCCACUAAAAAUACACUGUAAUUCCACUAAAAGUACAAUGUAAUUCCACUAGAAACACACAAAAGAAUUACAUUACAAUUCCACUGAGAAAGUACCAAAUUUAUCCCUGGAGAAGCGCCACCAGAGAGAGCGAUUCAUCCAUGAUCUAGAACACAAACAUGGNNNNNNNNNNNNNNNNNNNNNNNNNNNNNNNNNNNNNNNNNNNNNNNNNNNNNNNNNNNNNNNNNNNNNNNNNNNNNNNNNNNNNNNNNNNNNNNNNNNNNNNNNNNNNNNNNNNNNNNNNNNNNNNNNNNNNNNNNNNNNNNNNNNNNNNNNNNNNNNNNNNNNNNNNNNNNNNNNNNNNNNNNNNNNNNNNNNNNNNNNNNNNNNNNNNNNNNNNNNNNNNNNNNNNNNNNNNNNNNNNNNNNNNNNNNNNNNNNNNNNNNNNNNNNNNNNNNNNNNNNNNNNNNNNNNNNNNNNNNNNNNNNNNNNNNNNNNNNNAACACCACCCCUCCUGUGCAUUCAUCACCUCCUGUCGUCUCUCUCUUGCCGGAACAAAUCUGGAAGAAAGAACAUACCUGUAGUGGAUCAUCAACAUAGGCUAAGUUAAGCCAAAAUCUACACAGAUCGAAAAUAGGAACAAAAUCACGCAAAAGCAUGAGCCAAGAGAAACCCUAGGAAGAACUAGGAUAUGGUCGCAUGAACUAGUAGUCUAUGAUCACAGGAAAACUGAAAACUAGAUGCCCAGAUCAUAUUUUUGAAUUUGCAGAAAUAAACACACAACAGGGAUCAAAACAUGCUCAGGAAGCUAGCAAUUCCAUUUUGGGAAAACUAGUUAAAAACAUGCAAGGGGGAGGAUUGCUCCAGUUGAGAGAAAAUAUGGCUAUUUUCACAGACUUUGGAAACUGAAAGACCAAACACUGUUAAGAGACUUUGAUCUGCUAGUUUUAGACACUUUCUACUUGUUCUUAAAAACUACUCUGUACCUGUGAUUGAAGGACUGAAUUUAAGUAACUUUGGAAGUGUAAACUGCUAUGAUCUGAUGCUUGCUUACACUGAAUAUUGAUAGGCAUUAACAUAAGCACUAAAAAUUGAAAUUAACAGAAAAAUGACAAACAAAAAUCAGGCUAAAAACAUUCACGCUAGAAGGCACUCACACUAGUAGCAACAAACAAAACUGAUAACAUAUUUACAGUUCAGAACUGAAAGGACAAAUUUGUGACUGUUAGAUAAAAUUACUGGGACCUUCUUUGCAAAAUUACUCUGCGUUUAUUUACAGUUCAGAACUGAAUACUUGUUCGCAUUAAGAGAUAAUUUACUCAAAAUAUUGAGUGCAGGUGCCUACAAUCGAACCAAAUGCAAUGAAAUGCAGCAUCAAAGGACAGGCGAUGUACCUCAAGAAAGAUGAAGUUGAUUUCCUUAACAUAUGGCUAUCUAAUAGCAGAAAACAAUCCUGAAAACAAAAAACAUUAUCGAAAACAUGCUUUCUCUAACUAGUUUCCUGACAAAUAACAAAGUGGAUCAUACUCUUUUACUGAGCUACUUCAGGCGCAAAUGAUGUACAAGGCGUAGCUGCAUUGCAAAAAUACAUAGAAAACUAAAAUAGAGAAAAUCUACCGACACUAUUCAUCGGCUAAUGAUAUAACAUUGAUUUACUUUGUGCAGCAACAAUAUGUGGAGCCUGAGCCUGACAUGACAAACUACAUGGAAUGGCAUAGUACUGACCAGAACAAUGAAUUCAAAUAUGCAGAAACACCUCCUAACACCAACGGGGAAGAGAAAAACGGUAAGCAUACAAAGCAUACAAUAAAACUCGAACCUAGCAACUGUAGGUACACAAAAUAAAGCAAUUAUAUUGUGUUGCUUGCAGGCACAAAAAUGAUUUAAUUACAUUUGAAGUGGGUGCAGGGGCAUAUAAUAAAAAUCACAGUAAAAUAUAGCUGUAACAUUUAAACCUACUUCAAUUAGAAUUGUAUUACAGAAGAUUAACUAAAGAGCCUAACAAAUAAAAAACUAUCCAAAACACGCUGAAAAAAACAAACAGAAACUAACAUUAGCAUCAAGCAAGAAUACAUACAUAACUGGUAAAAACUAAUUUACUCCAAAUUACACUACAAUACAGCUAAAAUUACACCAACGAAUGCACUGUGAAUUCAUAUACAAGCCACAAUAAAAAUAAACAUUACAAGAAACUAAGAAAUGGUGGAGAAAAUCAUGACACUACGACAUGCUCAGGACAAUAUACUAUCCGCACCAACGGGGACAACGAAAACACAAAGCAACUGAAUCUCUAGUUCCUAAAAUGACAUAUCCAAACUUGAGAAAAUCAAAGCACACAUACAGGGCAGAGCGAUCUUACAUCAAGCUACAACUGAAGGAUGCAAAAUCCAAUGCCGAACUAGCGCAUGUAGCUAAAAAAGGGGAAAAGCAUGAACACUUACAUGCUAAAAAUGGGAAUUACAUACCAAAUCCACUAAGAAUUACAGUGUAAAUUCACUAAGAAUUACACUGUAAACCCCCUAGGAAUUACACUAUAGAAUCUACUAGGAAUUACACUGUAAAAUCCAGUGAGAACUACAGUGUAAAUCCAUUGGGAAUUAGAGUGAAAAUCCGUUGAGAAUUACAGUGUGAAUCCACUAGGAUUACUAGAUUACAUUCAAAAAGAUUAGAUGCAAUCACUGUUGUUACACUAUAGUAAUUACACUAAAAAGAUAAAGUAAUUACACUACGAAAUCCACUAAGAAUUACCAGACUACAAUAAAAAAGAUAUCAGAUCACAUAACGGAUAUGCCGUUAGUUACAGCGGCACCAGAUAAUGAGGACAUUCAGUGCAAUAUCACAGUCCCAAUCUCCUUGUUAAUUGUGAUUUGCAGUUCCAGUAGCAACAUAAAUGCCCAAGUUAGGACAGAGAUCACACUUAGUCCCAAAAUUGUGAUGUUCAGAUCCCAAAAUGGCCAGACAUGACACAUUCAGAAGUACAAGAGCACAAAACCUGCCCAACUCACACACCUAGAACAAUCAAAACAGAUCAAAAUGACCAUCUGCGCUCACCCAACCUAAACACAAACAAAUCCAAAAUUUGUACAGAAAAACCCUAAUCUGACUCUCACAUGGCAGACAGAAUUUAGAUGGAAAAUUCACUCCUAAACAGUAGAUCAAUGGAAAUUUUAUAACAUAGAGUAGUAAGUUACAAGGUUAAAUUCACAUUAAAAUUAGAUUAUAAGUACACUGAUAUUCAGUUUAAUGUAGUGUGCUGGAAAAAGUGGAAAAAUUCAGAGUAGACCACUGUAACUUACACAUUCCUGAAAUUACAAGCCAAUGGAACAAAACACUCAAAAAUUGCAGUGUAAGGUAGACUAAUAAAAGACUGAAACUACAGGCCAAAUCACCGUUACUUAUCUGAAAUAUUCAGUCCACAUCACUGUCCAAUUAACUCAAAGUUACAGUCCAAAUCACUAACCAAAACACUAUAAAUUACAGUCCAAAUCAUUGUUACUUAACUGAAAAAAUUAAAUCACAUCACUGUCCAAUUCACAAGUUACAGUCCAAAUCACUACCCAAAACACUGAAAAUUGAAGUCCAAAUCAAUGUUACUUAACUGGAAAAAUUCAGGACACAUCACUGUCCAAUUCAUUCACAGUUACAGUCCAAAUCACUAACCAAAACCACUAAAAAUUACAGUCCAAAAUCAUUGCUACUAAACUGAAUAAAUUGAGUCCACCAAUUACACAUCACGAAACUUAACCCACCAAUCCCAGCCAUCUACAUCAAAACACAGACCAGACGAACAACAGCCUACCAAACUAGCAGACGCCGAAGGGAUAAGUGUACUUCUAGUCUAAUUUUAACAUGAAUAUCAGUGAUCUACUCAAGGAACAACACAAACCACAUACAUCUACAAAAAAUAUCUGCGGGUAACACAUGCAACUACCACAAACAACAAGAUCCGGCCGAGAAAACUCUACACGUGGCUAACAAACAGAUCUGGGAAUGGCACAAAUCGACGAGAAUACCGAAUCAGAGGAACGGAAGCGCUCGCAGGAAAAAAAUAGGAGGCGCGGUNNNNNNNNNNNNNNNNNNNNNNNNNNNNNNNNNNNNNNNNNNNNNNNNNNNNNNNNNNNNNNNNNNNNNNNNNNNNNNNNNNNNNNNNNNNNNNNNNNNNNNNNNNNNNNNNNNNNNNNNNNNNNNNNNNNNNNNNNNNNNNNNNNNNNNNNNNNNNNNNNNNNNNNNNNNNNNNNNNNNNNNNNNNNNNNNNNNNNNNNNNNNNNNNNNNNNNNNNNNNNNNNNNNNNNNNNNNNNNNNNNNNNNNNNNNNNNNNNNNNNNNNNNNNNNNNNNNNNNNNNNNNNNNNNNNNNNNNNNNNNNNNNNNNNNNNNNNNNNNNNNNNNNNNNNNNNNNNNNNNNNNNNNNNNNNNNNNNNNNNNNNNNNNNNNNNNNNNNNNNNNNNNNNNNNNNNNNNNNNNNNNNNNNNNNNNNNNNNNNNNNNNNNNNNNNNNNNNNNNNNNNNNNNNNNNNNNNNNNNNNNNNNNNNNNNNNNNNNNNNNNNNNNNNNNNNNNNNNNNNNNNNNNNNNNNNNNNNNNNNNNNNNNNNNNNNNNNNNNNNNNNNNNNNNNNNNNNNNNNNNACGGAGGGGGCGGGGCAGCCAGACGCCGGACCACCACUGUACUGUAUCGGGCGGCGAGGAGAGCUCCAAAUCGCCAUGACUGUCUCUCCCUCACUCUGUUCUACUAGUUGCGUCUGUGAAAUGAGAAGGGGAAACGAGGAGGAGGAACCCAACUAUGCGGGCGAUUUGCGGGCGACAGCAAAGGAAGCGUAUCGGGUCUCCAGGAAAUUAAGCGGGCCUGAUAAGAAAAAAUGGCAACAGUGGGACAAAAAAAACACGAAUCACGGCACAUAGAUCGCACGGCUAAAAAAACGGAUGAAAGCCAAUUGAAUUCAGCCGGAUGAAAAAUAGCAAAACCGAAAUUAUAUGUCGCGUUUUAAAGAUUUGG
rnacentral:lncRNA from 1 species